rnacentral:lncRNA from 1 species
GAGGGAGAGAGAAAAGUGGAGGCAAAAGGAUAAAAGUAGGUCCUUUGGUCCAUAGCUUUUGUGUGCACCAUGAGAGAAAAGUAGGGUUUGGUCCAUGGUCCACCAUGGACCAAGGGCCCUCCUCUCACUUUUCUUGCUCCCCACUCUAACUCAUUUGACCCCUUGACCAUGGCAUGAGAGGCUUGACUUGUUGACUAGUUUUCCUCUGCCACGUAGGAUUGACCGCGCCACGUAGGUGUCUUUGACUCGUGCUUGCGGAAUGUUGACUUGGUCGCCAUCACAUAGGAUUUACGGCUCGGCCCAUAUAAGGGUUUAUUUUACUACUAUUCUUCAAAUUUUAUUUGAGUGUAUAUGUGUAGUGAGGUUUAUUAAUUUUGCAUUUCGAAAAAAUCAAUCGUGAACAUGGUUCGUGAAGGAACUUUUAAUUUCCUAUUUUCAUACUGGUCUAAUAGCACAUACCAGUGACAUGCCUUUGUCAUUUUUUUGUGCUUUAAAAAUAAUACAAAUACAAUAAUAAAUAUCUUUAAUAAAGAUGUUUUGCACGGGACACCUUGCUAGUUCUUUAAUUAAUGCAAAAAAGGGAAAUAUCAGGAAAACAUAGCUUAUGCAUUUUUUUUGUAAAUCCGGUACGCAUAUCCAUUUAACUGGUUUAAGUAACACUAAAGUAACAUAUCUUGGAGGGAAGCGCCGUCGCCGCGUCGUAUAAUUGCCUUAAAAAAAAGAUACUCUUUCCGUUUCAUAAUUUUUAUCUCAAAAUUUGCCCCCAAAAUAAUGUAUUUAUUUAUAAGAAAUGUUUAGAUUCAUGUAAUAUUUCGACAAAAAUUAUUAAACUGAGGGAGUAUCUCUUGUCCGUCGAGCACAUACUGCAUAAGCAUGCACACGCAGGUUGUGUCUCUGGUCUCUUCUGCGGUCAUUUGCAGUUUCGCGCUAAACUGACUAACGAACACUUCAAAGUUUAAAAAAAUAAAAAAAAAAAUAGCGAGAGCACCUGGUUGCGGGCUUGCUGCAGGAGCUCAAAGUUAAAUUGAUGCUCCUGUCGCCUAUAUAUACGAGCCAGUAGCUCCUUCAUCACAGCAUCAAGAUCACCACCACAAGUGCAUCUGUGCAAAGCGUGAAAAACAGAGCAAAACAUCCUCUGCCUCAGCCCGCGAAGCCAGCUCCUCUCCCCUGUUCCUACUCUGUUUCCCUCACUCACUGACUCACUCGAGAGUUCCUAGUGGAACGCGAGGCUUUGCUCGGGACCCGGCCAUGGUGGCGAUCAAGGCGCCGAGCUCCAUCGACCACGCGAACCCGCUGACCAAGUCCCCCAAGGCCGCAGCAGCAGCAGCAGCAGCGAUCCCGACGGUGGACCUGUCGUCCCCGGGCGCGGCGAGGGCCGUGGCGGAUGCCUGCCGCGGCGUGGGCUUCUUCCGGGCCACCAACCACGGCAUCCCCAGCUCGCUCGCCGCAGCGCUCGAGGCCCGCGCCAUGGCCUUCUUCGCGCUCCCGCACGAAGACAAGGUGGACGCCACCAUUGCCGCGGCCGCCCGGAGGCCCUUCGGGUACGGCAGCAGGAGCAUCGGCUCCAACGGCGACGUCGGCUGGCUCGAGUACCUCCUCCUCUCCCUCGGCUCAAACUCAAACUCCAGCUCCAUCCCAGGAGCUUCCUCCCUCCCGCCAUCGCUCCGGGCGGCGCUGGAGGAGUACACGGGAGCGGUGAGGAACGCGAGCGGGAAGGUGCUGGAGCUAAUGGCGGAGGGGCUGGGGAUGCAGGAGAGAUGUGCGCUGAGAAGGAUGGUGGAUGGAAGCGAGGAAGAGCUUGUCAGGGUGAACCAUUACCCGCCGACCAAGGAAGAAGACUGCGUGGCGGGGAUGACGGGGUUCGGGGAGCACACGGACCCGCAGAUCAUCUCCCUGCUCCGGUCCAACCGCACGGCCGGGCUCCAGAUUAAGCUCCAAGGACCCGACGCGCCAUGGGUCAACGUGGCUCCCGACCCGGAUUCCCUCUUCGUCAACGUCGGCGACUGCUUGCAGGUGCUGACGAACGGGCGGUUCAGGAGCGUGAAGCACAGGGUGGUGGCGCCGGAAGGGGCGCAGGCGUCGAGGCUGUCGGUGAUCUACUUCGGCGGGCCGGCGCCGGCGCAGAGGAUCGCGCCGCUGCCGGAGCUGAUGAGGGAGGGCGAGCAGAGCCUCUACAGGGACUUCACCUGGGGGGAGUACAAGGCGGCUGCCUACAAGACCCGCCUCGGCGACAACCGCCUCGGCCCCUACGAGCUGCGCAACGUCGCAGAUACUAAUCCGACGGCUCUGAUCACCGCCUCCAAGGAACCCACAGCCGCCGAUCACUGCUGCAGCAACAGCAGCAGCAGCAGCGCCGCCUGCGUCGUCGUCCAGCCGCCGCACGUAGCACAAGUGCACUAGCUAAGCUAGCUGAUGUCCGGCCGGCGGCUACUGUCGAUCGUUGGUCGGUCGUUUGAUGUGUAAUCCAGAUGUGGUAACUAAAGCUAGCUGUACGUGUGCCUGCCUGCUUUCCCAGCCCAAAAUUGGCAUGCGCCUGCGAAAAUGCCUCUCCCGCAUGCUCUGCUUCGUCCCGGUUUCAGUUUGUCCUUUCUGGGAAAACAUUUGUAACUUCCGCUAGUAGUAGUAGUAGGCUCGUAGCUGCAAGCCUGCAAGUGUGCUGCACCCUUUUGUCACCGGCAGUUUAACAGCUUGAAUCGCACGCUAUAUGCUGCCUGGUGUACUGUAAAUUAACGGCCCUAUUGUUCCGAUUGUCUUUGUGUGUUACUUACUUCUAGAGUACAAGUUAACUGGAGUACUAAGUGACAACGUUGUAAAAAAGCCCCCCUCUUCGCUUCUUUGGGGCCUUUUGUGCCGUAUAAGAAGUUAAGUACUUCAGAGGAAGAAGGAAACAGUUCAGUUUAGAUUCUACACGGUGCCAACCCCCGAUGCAUCAUCAAGACAUCAAGGUUCAGAUCAGACGACAGGGCUCGAGCCGUGCUCGGUAACAGCUCACGUCCGCUUGUUACAACUAGACGAGCCCCGUACGUUGUCGUGGAAAUUUUUAGUUAACAUACGUGAGCCCACGUUGUUGAGAACAUACAUGAAUGAAAAAUAGCAACAAAAGAGUAUUCAGUGAAAUGUAUAAUGGAAUUGUAUGAUAAAUUAUAGAUCAUUCACUUAGUAAAAAUAGCUUGAUGAAAAAUAGCAUGCAUGCAUGUGCAAAAAAUAUGAGUGUUUCACUAAAUAGAUAUGAACAAAUUAAUAGUGUGAUGAUGUGGCAUGCUUGCAUGUUGAGAGAAAUCAAGUAGCAGUAGCAUGUUCUUCUCCUUAGAUAUGGAAGAUUAGUGCUGUGCGUGGUACGGUUCGAGCUGAUCCAAGAGAAACGUGGUAUCUACGGAUCGGAUGUUCGGUUUACAAAAAAAAUCGGAACAACUAAAUCCUAUCCAAUUGAACCAUUGAUUCACCGGUUCGAACCUUCCUGUUCCUCAGGCCGAGGCAGCGAUUGAUCUCUCCAAUUCCUCGAUUUGCUGCUGCUGCCGCCGCCGCCGCUAAGCCCCACCGUGGUCGCCGCCGCCGUCUCCUUCAGUGCAAGUGAUCACAGUUCGCACCGCCUGCAAAUCCGCUCCCUCCCCACCCCCUCAGCGGCUCGCCGCCUUCAAAGCCGAAGCCAAGACGACUCCGCCGCUAAGACCAUCGGCGGCCGCCUCCGCAUCCCACGCCGCCACCGGGUGGAUUCGUCUCCAUCGCGCCGGCGCCCCCAACUCCCCGCCAACCUCCACCAUUACCCUGCUGUCGAUUCAGCGAGAUUGAAGUUUUUCUACCUCCGUCCCAGGCGCGCACUGCAGCCGAGCAGGCGACGAAAAUAACUCCUCCAUUACCCUGCUGUCGGCAACCUUCUUCGAGCUUUGAGCUAUUCGGCUUUUCCGGCCUGCAGCAGAGCAGCCGACGAGAGCCCUCUGGCAAGACGAAGCAUGCUGUUCUUUUCGGUAUGCAGUAUGCGCAGGCAAUUUAGGUUCGAACCAAAAGAUCCAUUGGAUCGUGUGGAUCACGGAUGCUGCUCCAAUGGAUCGAACCUUUUUACUCCCUUGCACCCUAGGUACGUGAAGUUUGGUGCGGUUCAGAGCCGGUACGAGCCACGCCCACCCCUAGUUACAAUCCGUUUUACUAAACCAACUAGUGGAAUGUCCGUGCUUCGUGACGGCUGAUGUUCAACAUAUAAUGGAAACGAAUAUUGAAAAGAAGGUGCAUAUCGUUUGCACGGAAUACAUAUCGGCCAUACCCAAUUGCUAUGAUAACAAAAUUCGACAAUACCAAAACAUUGAAAAACGACGAUAAAUAAUAUGAGAACUCAAGAAUACAGAACUUGGUUCAUACAUAGGAUGCGGUACAAACAGAUCUAUCUAAAGUACCACAUUAAAUAACAUCAAAGAAAGGUAAACUGGAACCAACCUAUAAUAGGGCAAGCUUGUUCAAGUAUAUUACAAUAAAAAUAUGCCUGGAAGGCAAAUUGGAAACAAAGAUCAUGAUUAGUGACAACAAAAACACUUACCACAUCUAUUAGCUGAUGAAAUGGUAGGAGCAAACCUUCACUAACAGCAUACAAGAACGAUGUCGCCAUUCUCUACAGCCUCCCAGAUAUUUUCAAGCCUCUCAUUCCUACAAGGACUUGAGUUGAUAUUAACAACUGGCACAGUUUGGUACCUCUUUUGUACAGUAGGAUAGAAUCACAUAAGGUAGAUUAUAUGUAUCCUGGAGGUUAUGGUAGAUUAAUAUAGACAACUUGUAACAUAUACAUUUUUAUAUUAGUGAUAUACAAGAAAUGGAAGUUGAAGGACUCAGCUACUUAUGGCUAAUGAAUUUGUUCAGGGUUCAGAAGACCGUAACCGGAUGGUUUGAGUUUCCAACGCAUUUGCAGCAUUGCCUUUUUCAAAUUUUAGUAAGCCCCAAAAUUACACCACUGAAAUUAAGCAACCAAACUCAGUAAAGGGAUACGUUCAAAAUGCAGAUAUUACCUUAUUACAUCCAAACAAAACGUAUGAAAUAUCAUGUUUAUGGGAAUUCCUAGAUUAGUGUGAAUAGUCCCAAGAGGAGCAACAAUAUCACCAACAUCCUCCCCGGAAGGCCGAAACAUGGCCCUUAUAGAUUUGGGAUAACACAACAAACCUACAGAUGCAAAGCAUGACAGUGAAACUUUGCUCAUAUGUCAGCUUAUUAGUGCAACCAGAAAACCAUAAUGCUUUUAGAAAAUAUUGGUCACUUGGAAAAAUAAAUAAACACAGAUUCUAGAGUACUAAGUGACAAUGUGUUACCGGUAUUAUGAGCAGCUCUGCAGAAAUCAAAGUUCAGUUCUCACAAACUCAGCUUCAUAUUUCAGUCUAUUUGUUGUUCACCUUUAACCCCACUUCAGGUGGGUUUCAUUCUCAUGCUUCAUGAUAGCAUAAGCAGCAAGUAUACAGUACCUUAGUCUUAAAAAAACAUAUAAUUUUCUUCCCUGUUACAUUGUGUCGUCAGUGGUGUUCCCCAUAUAAUUGACAUAUAUUCUUUGAACAUUCUAAAAGAAAAAAGGGGAUCAAACUUGUUACACACAUGUUCCCCAAAUAAUUGACUUUCUCCUCUAUCAAAAUCUAUUUGACAGAGAGAAUGGGUUAAAAUUCAGAUAUAUUGCCAGACUUACAGUUGUACAUAAUUGAAGUUAAGAACAAAGCAUUUCAAAAAUAAGAAACAAGGGAAUAUGAAACAUAUGAAAUUUGUAAACAAAGAAUGAGCAAAACAACAAAACAUGUGCAUCCAAAACUUAUUUAUUCCUACUUACUACUUACAUGAAUUAUAUUCUGAGUCUUCUGAGUGAGUUCCAGGUACCAAUGAGCCAAAUGGAAUCACGAUCAAAUUCGUUAGCAAGUGAUUGACGAACCGCCUAUGAUUUAUCGAAAUUAUGUCCAAUUAUGCUAUCUCAGAUAAGCAUCAACAUAAAAAUUUCCUACAACAACCUUCAUUUAUAUUAAAAGAUCAUGCAUUUUACUUGACGCUCUUUUACCAAAAUAUUGCAGUAAUCAAGUCAUGACCCAAAGAUUUCCGCACAUUUUACGGACUACAAAAUUAUAAAUCACCACAUGAAUUUAUUUUGUUUCAAAAUACCGCGCCAGAUUGCCAGAAGACCAUGAGUAAGAAAGAAGUGUCUACUCUUGGCAAAAGUCUAAACUACUCCUAAGUGCCCAUCGAUGGAAGGAAAUCUCAAUCAAUACAGGGGCACAUUGAGGAGUAAGACGGAGAGAGGUAUGGAUAGGGUUAGUUACCUUGAGGUGCUGGAUGCCGAACGAGUGGUCCAUGAGGGCCAGGGGAGAGUAUCCGGCGAUGGAGAUCGCCUGCGCAAGGGACGCCGAUGACUGUCAGCAGCAUGGUGCUGCCCCCGCCAAGCGCAGCCUCAACGGUGGCCAACAGGCGGCGGCGGCCAUCGUCUUCAUCAUCCGCCGCUGCUUCAUGUGUGAGGAAGAGGAACGGCGGAGGGCGCCUGCGCAAGGGACGCCGAUGACUGUCGGCAGCAUGGUGCCGCCCCCGCCAAGCGCGGCCUCAACGGUGGCCAACAGGCGGCGACGGCCGUCGUCUUCAUCGUCCGCAAUUGCUUCAUGUGUGAGGAAGAGGAAUGGCGGAGGGCGCCCACGCGGGAGACACUGAUGACGUCGAGCGCCCCGGUGCCGCCCCCGUCGAGCGCGGCCUCGGCGGGGGCCAACUGGCAGUGGAGGCCGCCAUCGUCAUCCGCCGUUGUGUCGUGCGAGAGGAGGGGCGCUGGUGACGAGACGUCUCUGGAGUAGGGGAUGGGAUGGGGACGAUGGCGGAUCUGGAGGGCUAGAAAGGAGGAGGUGGAUCGAGAGAACGGAAAGAACGGGUGCGUGGAGAACGGUGGAACGUGGUGCGGGAGAGAGGAGCUAAUUACGGCCGUGAUUGAUUGUUGGAUUGUUUUUUUUUUAGGGUUCAGAUAGGGAUGGUUUUCUUGGGGUGCGGGGAUCGGACGGGUGGGACGAGUGCGACGGAUGAACGUACGUACCAAACUCGAAAUUAAGUAGUAGUAAAGAUAGGGUGCUAAAUUAGGCAUUUGCAAUGACAGGUGACAGUUCACGUGGGUGCCAUGCUUUCCUUUUCCGUGACAAAUAGUACUCCCUCUGAUUCUAAAUUCUUGACUCAAAUUUGUCAAAAUAUGGAUGUAUCUAUUCUUAAAAAACGUCUACAUACACGUAAUAUUUUGACAAUAAUUUAGUAUUGGAGGGAGUAGUAUGUAUGUAAGGUUCGUGCUAACCUACAUGUUGACCCUACAAGCAAUUUUUUCUUUGAAAGCAUGCCAAAAUGCCAAAUUAGUCCUUAAAAAAAAGCUAGCCAAAUUAAAGCAUCCGGUUUUGUUCCUCAUCGUUCAUUUCCCUCCCUCCCUCCUUCCCUCCCACCCAUGUUGUCGUACAAUUGUUUUUUUUAACGGGUAAGGCUUCUCAUUUCUCAAAUAAUAGUACAAUUGGGUUUACCUGCCAUUUGCUGCCCAGCCACUAAUUGGUGCUUAUCUUCACGCCUUGUCGCCCCCUUGCAAUGGCAUUCAUCGGUUGGUUAAAAAGGGAAAAACAAGUUUGCAGCACCGGUACAUUUGUACAUCCUUUUCUAUCCACGCAACCACGCGAGGCCGGACGACACGUGCUGAUGCGACUGACGGGAAAGCUGGUUUGGACGGAUGAGCAGAGAGAGAGAACCCGCGCUCGAGCCGCACGUCGGUUUCUUCUUGCAGGAUAAACAUUGCACGUACCAAACGAGCAAAAAUAAGGAACCGGGUGCCAUAUAUAUCCACUCGAUCGGCUCGGACUUUGUCGCCGCCGCCGCGGCUGCUGCUCCUGGCGUCCCGCAGACAGAUUCCCACGAGCCUUGGGCUUCAUCACACGGAUGCCUGUUACCACUCGAUCGACCAGCCCAAAUAGUCUAGCCGUCCGGACUUCGCGUGCGUGCUGCUCAUAUAAUUGUUGGUUGCGUGGGGGCAAUUAUUGACGUACGUGUAGGCGCGCGUACUAGGAUUAAUCUAUCGACGACCACCGUCAUUCACGAGGUCCGGUCGCGUUUGCUAUCGAGCCCAGGCUCCUAGCUAGUUCGACCGGAUAAGGCCGUUCCCGAAUCUAGUCUCAGUGGCAGUAGAAGAACAGUAGCAGCAUUCUGGUGUGUUCUCUGCCAUUGCUCAUGGGGAAAUAGCGGUGUGGUUGAUCUGGUGGAUUUUUGUGCGGAACCCGACAAGCAUGCAUAUUAAAUGGCUUAAAUUUGUCAAAUAAAUAUAAAUGCAUCUGAAACCAAAACGGGACGGAGGAAGUACCAGUAGUAUAAAAGAACUGUGCACAUAAUGCAUGGACGAUGAAAUGGCCUCACAUGGCGAUCGACCGCGCGCGCUUAGGGCGCCGGCACACGUAGAAGAGAGCCUCGUGCUCGCGCGCGAGCUGAGCAUAUAGCACGUACGGUCCGAGCGGCGUCCCGGGCGGGGAUCUGCAGCCUAGGCCUGUCCGGGGCGCCGUCGCAUCGGUCGAUCCAUCGAUGGCGGGACACGGGACACACUGCACACAGCACGAACACGUGCGUGCAUGCGCUAGCUGCAUAUGCCAAAUCUGGUCUCGGUUCACGUUGGUACGUACGCGCUCGAUUGAUCGAUCGAUGGACAACUGACGUAUCGAUUCGAUACGUCAGGGAGGGCUACGUACGGAAAGCUAUAGCUAGCGGGGCCGCCAGAAUCGAGCAGGGGCUCGAUCGAUUCAGAUUCGAUUCGAUCUGGGGUCGAGAAAUAUGUGUGUGACUAGCUGCUGCUAUACGCACGUGCAUAAUACUACUGGUAUGCUACACUUCUCGUUAACUAAGAUGAUCUAUCAGCCGGAGGUGGCCCGUUAAAUUGAAGAGAGGGAGAGAGAAACGUUCAAACUGAAAGGAAAAAAUGGUGUAACUAUUUUCAAACAAAGGUAUUAAAUGUCGAUGGACAUGUCAGAGACAUCGGAUCAAGAUCCGAGGGUCAUCCACACUUUCCCCUCCGUAACGUGUUAUCGCUGGAUUAAAAUCUGACGACCAACAGGGGCGGAGUUACAGCGUAGACAUUGGGUUCAGAUGAGGAAUUGGAUCCGAGCCUACACAUAUGAACCCCAUGAUUAUAGUGUAAUGAACCCAGUGGUUUCCUUUUCUGGCUCCACCCGUGACGACCAAUCACGUCGACUUGUCUCUAACUAAAAAAAUACAGACGACUUCUUAAUAGCAAAACAUGAAAAAGGAAUAUAAUGUCUCUGUAAAAUAUAGAAAGACGUGGUUCUCCGUUAAGAUGUUGUGGUUAUUUCUCUUCUGUCAGUUGACCAUUUUUGUCCCCGUCUGAUCCAGCGCCGCUCCGUUACCGUACCAUGUUUUUUCACGUCAUUAUCCGUCCGUAUUCCUUAUUUGUUUUUGCAUUCAUAUCAUGUCCGUGCCGCUUCCAAACCAAUGGAAAUUGUGAAAUAAAAUAUGGUACUAUAUAAAAUCAUUAUCCGGUCCCGUUUUACAUAUAUGCUAUAUUCCUCAAGUAUGUACAUCGAUCGCGGUCUUGUAUGAUUCAAAAACAAAAACGAAAUAUCAGUAGAGAGCAAGCGUACAUGCACACGCAGGAUAUGCUUUCGUUGGUUAAUUCGGUGUACGUACGGACCACCGCGAUGUCUCUGCGCCCGUCGACGUCACACACGCUUACGUGAGUGCGUGCGUACAGUCGGUGAUUAAUCGAUCCGGAAACGUGCCAAUAUAGUCUGCAGCCGCGCCGGCUUUUUAUACUCCCUGCAAUCAAUGCACCCGGCCCUCUCGUUUCGGCCGAAAACUGCAUACCACGCUCGAUCGAAUCAUCCAAGUAUACAGAUACACACAUGCUUCUCGAUGACUCGAUCGAUGGACUUACGGUAUAAUCGUACAGUAGUUGCUUUCGCUUCCAGACGUAGGUACACGGAACGACGAACCGGGAAAAACGGCCCUCCUGCUCCUGGCUUGGAAUCAUUCCACCUCUGGUGGAAAUCCUGGACCACCCGUACGUCCAUAUGCUCCCUUGCGAGUUGCAGACACGUUAUACGUACUCAUGUAAUCGCUCCGUUUCAUAAAAAUUGACACGAUUUUAAAUCAGAACUAAGUUAAAAUCAUGUCAAUCUUCGUGAAACGGAGGAAGUACCUGACAGGAAUGCAUGCAGGGAUCAGGCACUCCAGUUUGGAGUUGGAACGGGGCACACAUGUGGAAAAAGUUUCGAACUAACAAGGUGGCGACUGCGACCAAAGCCAGAACCAUUUUUUGUCGAGCACGAUCGAUCGACCUGCAGCGCCAGAGCCACUAGAGGGCCCAGAUCAGCUUGCCCCGCCCCAAUUCCAUGCGUUCCGGUUGUUUCCUUUCGAGCCCCCUGCCCCAGUUGCCUGCCCUUUUAUCUCUCAGCGAUCAGUUACGUUCAUGCAUUCUUGGCCACACGUACCUACACUACAAUCGGUACUACUACGUACAUGCGAGAUAGCUAUGUCCCGAUCGAGCCUGCAAUUAACGGCAACUCGACCGAUCAAUCUGCAAGUAGAGACAGUAAUCUCGAAUUUGGUUCAAAAGCAGGCAGCGAAUCCUGGAACGACCAAGUUACACGGUACUCCUAUGUAAGCUAGUACUAGUACAACUAGUAGCAUGCCACCGGUGGAUCACUCACCUGGGGAUACAAAACCGUUCUCCUUCGAUUAGAGUCGUCUGCAUUAUUGACAGUUUCGAUGGACCAGGCAGACAGAAGCAAAGCCUGGAUGCGCGCGGGAUCCACUUGUCCAGCAAAAGGGCACGAAUCGGGGAGGUCACAGGACUUAAACAUACGAUAGGCCACGCGAGCCAAAGGCGUGCCGUACUGUGCUGCCCCUGCCUGGCCUGUCGUGUGAUGUGACAGAAAAAAAUUAAAGGGAGCGGCGAACCUGCGUUUCAUGAUCAUUGAUAGAUGGAUGGGUGGAUCGAGCUAGUAUUAAGCUGGUUGUGGUGUGUGUGUGUGGAGGGGGGUCUGUCUUUGAAAAGUCGACGCUGCAUGCGGACGUUCAGUUUCAAGUGGCGUGCAAGAUGUUCCUAGUGAAAAUGUGAAAUCAUGGGGGAAAUAGGCGAAGUUUGCAGGGUUGAACGGCACACCGCGUUUGGCUGACGGCUCUAUGCGCGGAUAUGAUGUUUUCUUUUUAACGAAUAUUCUGAUAUUUUUCAAUACCAAAACCGUAUUCGGAGUUAGCUGGCGUCUGAAUUUUAAACAGAAGACUUAAAUCUCCGGACUCUUGAAUUAAGAUCUAAGUGUCAUCCCCACUCUCUCUUCUCCCGCAUGCUGUUGUUGGAUUAAGAUCCAAUGUUCAAACACGUCAGCUGAUCGCUAACUAAGAAACAAGCGACUUCUUAAUAGCAAACCGUUUUCUGAAUCCCCACAUUCGAUAAUAAAAUUCCACCGGGAACCUACCAUGCUGUAUGCAGAUAUCGACCUUCUUUUUUUGGAUUGUGAUAAGUGUAUUUUCAUAGUUUAAAUAUUGUUCACGGUGCAAAUUCCGCCCUUGCGUGGCGGGUUAUUGGACAUUCAACUGUGGAUACCGAGCUUAGCAAAUUUUUGUCGAACUCUUUUUGGAAUGGAAUGGAUUAAUACAAUUUGACUAAGAGUCAUCAUUUUUAUGGUUUAGGGUGGUGGCUGCACCCCAAAACCUACCAAGGAUCGAACCCCAGGUUUGACCCUCGGCGUGUCUCAUUUGAGCCGAAUUUCUUUUGGCAGUAGGAGAUGCAAUCCGUUCACGCUUCACACUGAAGCGUCAGUGACUUCGUCGAUCUCAAAACGUUUUCACGAUUCUGGUCAUCCGUGUGAGUGUGUGCGCACGGCGGUGUACGUCGUGUGUGAUCAUUGUUCCUAAAAUAAAGUACUUCCUUCGUCUAACAAAGGAUGUCUGAAUUUUGAUUAAAUUUGAAUGCAUCUAUACAUCAAGUCAUGUCUACAUACAUCAACAUUUUGACAAACUUGAGACAUCUUUUGCUGGACGGUGAAAGUAUAGGAGCCCGGGAAUAGCCGCAUCUUAUUACAAGCAAUUAAUAUUUCGACCCUGAACCAGUUUGAGCUUAACCCCAGUGGAUCGGAAUCGGGUUCACUGAGCGAGCGAGCGCUCCAUUACAGAUUUUUACAGGCACUGAGGCACCGUCUCUUCCUGCUGCCCCCCUCCGGGGAGCUAGCUGCGUGCUAUGGACCGCCCAUUCGUGGAACGGGCUGUACCCACCAAUACCUACGUACCUGCGCGCCUGCCAUGCCACCCCUCUGCCACGGGGGGCUGUCGGCUCCAAAGAAUCAUGCAAUAAUUACCAGCUUCUUCUAUCGGCGGCAUACAGAGGAGAGGAUUGAGCUUUUGAGCAUCUCGUGUGCAGAGAGAAUCUCUCUGCCCGUUCGCGCCAGGUGGAUGUAUUUACUUGCGCCAGGAGCAAACGAGCAACUCGUGACCGCCUACGCACGUUUCCCCGACUAGACAAGUCAAUUGGUGAAAAUUGGUGAAAUUGGCAGCUAGCUUAUUUAUCCCUUUAUCCAUUCGCACCCACCCCACCCCGGCCACCCUCCGCGCUGCGCAUGCAUGCAUGUCCUCGUGGGCUCUCGAGGACUUGAAGUACGUACGUCGCAUGCAUGCAGAUAAGACGGAGCUAGAGAGAAAGCCUCUUCUUUUCGCUCGUGGCCCGGCAUGUGCAUGCCAAUGGCAAUGCCAGCGUCCCAGUCAGCUACUCUCUCCGUUCCAAAUUCUUGCCUCAAAUUUAUCCAAAAAUAAAUAUAUUUAUUUUUUAAAAACGUUUAUAUACAUGUAAUAGUCCGACAAAAAUUAUGAAACGGAAGGAAUACUGACCAUAGCUAUGGUCAGUACAACUCCUAGUGACAAGUGCAAGCAGGGGAAGUUCAUACUCUAUGUGGGAGGUGCAAUGCAUCUCUCGCUCUAAAGACGUGGUACUCCUAGACUACAGGACUACCACGUACUGGAUUCAUCGAGAUGUGAUGGAACGGUGUACCAGGGUGCGUGGCAUGCAUGUAGACGCCGGGCCGAUCGAUGUAUGUCGAGAGCGGGAUAUGGACAACGAAAAAGGGUGUGGGCAGGGUAGGUGUUCGAUCAAAAUCCACGGACAGUUCCAAACUGAGGAGACCAUGGGGAAACUACUGGACAUCGGGGGUAUAGUGUUCACGUGACGUCAGAACUGGGGAGAGCUACACAACCUCAAGUCGUCGUCUUCUGGUAAGCAAGAGGACCCUUGUUUGGGAGCGCAAUGCAAGUGCAGAUGUUGUGCAGGCGCAGCAGAGACGUGACCCUUGCAGAAGAAAACGCGAAGAGCCGGGUAUAGUGGAUAUGUGGAUGCGUGAAUUAUCGUGGGCCGGGCCGCUUCAAAGCCUGGUAACGCGUGUCGUCGUGGCCUGGCCCAGAUUAUGCUGCUCAUCCGUCCAGCUCGCAAUACAUGAAGAGAAGUUCAAAAACCCGCUGUCCACUUUUGCAUUUAUCCAACGUUUCCUUGAUGAUUUGUCUCUCAUUCGUGAUGUUGUCCAUGCUGUGACACCGGAGCCUCCUCCUGGUGGUGGUCGCCUUGUCCCGCCCACCAACCGCUGGUCUCCUCCGUCGGCUGGUAUGUGUAAAAUUAAUGCGGAUGCUGGAGUUGCAAGGUCAGGUGCAGGUGGUUCUUGUGCUGCGGUCUGUCGCGAUGAAUGUGGAAGAUUCAUGAGAGCCUCUUCGAUUACAAUCGAGGGCAUGACCGACCCUACAAUACUUGAAGCAUUGGCAUGUAAUGAAGGCUUGUCUCUGGCCUUGGACCUUAACAUCUCAAAAGUUUGUGUUGUUUCGUACUGCUUAACGGUUAUCAAGAGUCUACAACAAGAUGAUCUUUGCUAUUAUAGUGCGAUCAUUAAGGAUAUUGUGGCAAGGAAGGAUCAGUUCCGUGAUGCUGUUUUCAGACGUGAGAAGAGAACUCUUUAUAGAGAUGCUCAUAAUCUAGUUAGAGCGGAGUUACCGCUUUCUGUUGGCCAUCAUAUUUGGCUUUUAAGUACCCCAUGCAUUACUUGUAUUCCUGUUCAAGUUGGUGUUGAAUAAAGCUGGCCUUUCCCCUAAAAAUAAAAUAUCCGUCCAGCAGAACUGAAUCCCCAAUAGCGCGGUUACAAGACAAGAAUGAUUAUGUAAUUAUGUUCCUUGUUAUCGUUUCACUUUGCACCACAGAAAGAGUGCUCUGUUUGGCUCCACCAAGGCAAAAGGAAAGAGAAACAGGAACCGAGGAGUGUCUCAUUGUCAAUUACUAAUUCAGCCAACGAACCCAUAAAACAUGUACCGACGCAAAUGCAAUUCAUCAGAAGUGUUCUUCAAGGAAGAACACAGACAGGGUAUCGGACUACCGGUGACUAUGUUUGGAUAUCUUACAUGCUCAGAAUGCUGCGGGCGAGUUAACUGGGAAAUAAUUGAAGAUGAAGAAAGGACACAGCAAGUUACAUAAGCGGCAACAGAUUUUGCUAGAGUGGCACAGCAGUGGCAGGUGCUGGAACAUGCACCUCAAAUACAAUCAGGAACUCGAACUGUUUAUAGCUUUGGACACUUUCUUCCAUCGCAAAACACUUCGAGUUUGUUCUUAUCAAGCAAAUGGUUUUCGAUUAGGCCCAGAUAUGACAUGGUGUUAUUACAUGCAUAACAGCGCUGGCUUGUCAAGCACCACUGGCAUACAGGCGAGUCCACUCCUUCGCUGCAAAGCAAAAAAAAAAUUGACAUGUUAGGUACAAAAAGCAAUGAAAAGUGGAGCAAAAUGACAUGCUAGUGUAUCAAAGUGCAGUGUUAGCGUGCGGCUUUGUUGGCUGAAUUUUCAGUUACCUGUCUCGACAGCUUCAGCUUCAUUGGAUUUCCAGUGUUUUGCCACGUUUUCUGAGAGCGGAUCAUCUGGAUUCGGAGCGCUCAGCAGUGCCUGAAUGCUGCAGACCAAACAUUGUAAAGAGGCAAAAAAAAAAGAGUAUACAAUAGUGGAUACAAGAAGCAACCCUCUGGAAAUACGAUAAUAUGAUACGAUCAUGAACUAUAAUGAAACUAUUUGGCCAAACAUGCCACGGAAGACAGAAGAGGUUGCUACCUCAAAAGAACAGUACGUAUCUGAAGAGCUGGGCUCCAUUUGUCCUUCAGGAUAUCGAGGCAUAUCCUACCAAGCUGCAGUGCAAGUCAAUCCGAAAUGAGAAACUGUUAUCGAAUGAAGUUCCAUUGAGAAUAUCAGUUCCCUACCUUGUCAAUGUUGGGAUGGUAUAUUUUUGUGAGAAACCUAACCUGCGUCAGGAAUAACCAAAGAGUGAUGUCCAUCAGAAAGAAUCACAACAGAGACAACAUACAGAAAAGUCAAAUAGAAUUGUGUAACUACUUUGGUUAGACGACAGUGUCACACUAAAACUAAAACAACCAUGUUGAUAUCCGUAAGAGUAAAACAGUCCAAGGACAGGAGUUGAGAACAAAAUAUUCAGCUACCUCUUAUUUAACAUGAUGGAAAUUACUACUCCCUCCGAUCCAUAUUAAUUGUCGAAAUAUUACAUGUAUCUAGACAAUUUUUUAGCCAUAGAUACAUCCAUAUUUGGGCAAAUUUGAGACAAUUAAUAUGGAUCGGAGGGAGUAUUAGUCUGAGUCUCAGAUGAUAUAUCACAAUGUCAGUACACUCCAAAUAUAGCAUUGCCAAUUAAGUAAAGUAAAGUACGGAACUGUGCAAAGGAGAUUAGUUAAGUGAACGGAGAGAGAAAUCUAGUAUGGAUACGAAAAGUAUUAACACAAUACUAAACAUGGGCAUUCAGUAUUCCUGAUCACAAAGAUGGUAUGCAAAUCUAUUAAUGGUACAUAUCAACAACAAACAUGGGCGCUGCCCAAAAUAAGAUGUCACAAUAAAUUGCUGGUUUCGGUUAACCACAGGCAUAAUUAAACGUCCAUCCCACUGUCGCACCAUAGCAUGAUAAAAUCAUUGCGAAGAUCGCUCUGCCAGAUUUUGAACUCAAAUUUCAGUUACAACUUACAACUAGGAAAUGAACCAAAUUCCACAUCAAGGAGCCUACCGGGACAAGAAAAUCCAUCACAAUAUGUGUCAAACUAAUAACUUCUUAAACAACCAUCCACUAAUACUUGAUCAAAAAAUUACUUUUGGAGCAGCCAUCGGAUAUUCCUCAGGUAAGAAAAGUUCAAGCUUGAAAACUCCACCUGUCCAACACAUAUUAGAAGAAAUAUCAGGAGGACCAGACACAGACAACUAAACAAAAUAAUGUUUCACCCAAUUAAAAAUGUCAUAAGCAAAUACAGUAUACAAAGAUAAGUAAACCAAGCUUAAAUAAAUAAGAUAACAUAGUGACAAAUGUACUGUCUAACAAUAGGAAAACAGGUCGUUCUGUGUACCAUUUAUCAUAUACAUGCACCGCAUUUCAUUACUCCAUGUUGCAUGGAAACAUGGUAGAUAGUUCCUUGUGCCGUAUAUCAGUAAACUUCAGUAAUCGCAAAGGUUAAGGAAACCCAAGACAUUCAAUUCCCAUAGGUUACUGAUAUAUGGUACAGUUGUAGAUCUAGCAUGUUAAGGAAACUACAAACUUGUGCCCCAUAUCAUAUCUAAACUAAUAGCAGGUAUAACUGUUGAAGUAUAAGGUGAAUUGCCCUCAUUUCUCCAUCAGCUUAGGCUUUUAGGGGCACUGGUUCGGCCCAUAUGCAACUCUCCAUGGUAUCCGAGCCAAGAGGUCCCGAGUUCAAGCUCAAUAUAAUAAAAAGGCACUUUUGAUCCAUGAGGGGGAGUGUUGAAGUACGAAAUGAAUUGCACUCGUUUCCCCAUCAGCUUAGACUUUUGGGUGAACUGGUUCGGCACAAGCAACUCUACAAAAGGCAGUCUUCCUAUGUGGAAUAACUUCUACAAAUAAAAAACCAGGUUCACUAGAGCUUAAGAUAACCGAUGAAAUGGACUUGUCAAGCUAUAUUUUGUGAUGGAUUCAACAAAGCAGAAUCUCAAAGUAUAGAAUCCAAAAGGCACAGAAGAGUACAAUUACCACUGGAACAGCUGGGUACAAGAUGGUCGGAUUGCUGGUCUAGCAAACAUAAGUUUAGAAGUGUAUAGUUCCGGCAGCACUAGAACAACACCUUUAUGUGACCAUCCUGAUAUGAUCAUCCAUCUGUGAUGUUUUACUACAUAUUUGCAGCAUUUUACAAACAAAAAGAGCCAUAGAUACGAAAAUGGGGACGCGGUGACCACAGUUACAGUCCUAAAUUGCCACAGAACUACGCAUUCGUGCUCCAAAGUAUUACAGGGUUAUCGGCAUACGAAACAUUCCAACAGAAAUAAAAUGAAAAGGAGGUUUUACCUUCAUAAGGAGACUGCGCCGGACCAAGGACCAUGACAUUGAAGUAGCGCAUGUUCUCCUCCGACGGCGACGCGCUAAUCCCCGGCGCUGCACGCACCCCCCCAACACACGAAUCAGCACAAACAUCCGAGGCUCGAACGCGGACAACACAACAGGAGCAUCGAAUUCUAGGAAAACGAACCUGGUUCGCUGAGCAGCCGCUGCGUCUCCUGCAGCAGAUCCAAAUUCCGAACAGAUUAGGCACCACGCACAAGGAAUAACCAGACGAUAAGGUUAUCAUAUCGCGUUAGAGUCUCAGAAACGGCUGUAGAUCUGGGGGGGUGAGGGGCGAUCGGAUCGCGGGGUAGGGCGCGCGCACCUUGAUGAUCCGGCGCGGGAGGUUGCUGUUGGCCAUGGAGUCCGGCCGGGGCUGGAGCGAGAGCCUAGAGGGGAGGGGGGGAGGGACCGCCUCGAGCUUCGCGCGGCGACGGAGGAGAAGACAGCGCGAGAGAGGUCAAAGGAGUCGUCGAUCUGUCGGGGAGGGCGAGCCGGGGGAGGAGGCGACGAACGAACAGAAAUGGGUCAGGGUCCGAUACUGUGUACCACGUAUUUAUAAACUCCACGCUACAGCCGCUGCUGCUGAUAUUUUCCUUUUCCUCUUGAGCUGGUGUUUUCGUUUUAUACUCUACCGACCUGUUUGUUUGUCCUUCUAUUUCAGUUUUUUUGCAUCUGGCAAUCUUAAAAGCAUCUUUUCUGUUUACACGUGAAGCUGAGAGGCACCUCCGAACAUGCUAAACACUGUUUACACAUGAAGCUGAGAAGCACCUUCGGACGUGCUAAACAGAAAAAGUGCUUUUGAGAUUGCUAAAAGUACCAAAAACUGAAACAGAAGUCCAAACAAAUAGGCCCAGAGUCUGCUGGAUUGUGAAUUUGAAUACGCACACGGCGAAAUCAAAAUACGAAGUCAUGGCCACUAUGUUUAAAAUAAAAUUCGUGUACUUGGACAAAACAGAAGUUGUUCGGUGAAUAAAAAAACCCUAGAAAUGAUUUUCCGACGUAAUAAACGGUAUAAUAGUACUACUAGUAGUACGAGGGCUGCUGCAGCGGAGAUUAAAAAAAAACGGUGUUCGUUUUAGGUGAGCCAGGGAGAGCAUCUCUCCACGCGAAGGGAGCACACAAUUUAUGCAUGUGCAGAGAGAGAGAGCACGGAGAAGAACAACCUUUGGGUUUGCCUAAUUGCAACGGCCAACUUGUGACUUUGUGUUGUGCGCGCUCGUCGUGGAAGGAUCUCAGGCGAAAAGGAAGGUGGGGGAAAGCUCGAUUAUUCUCCGCAGCUUCAAUCCCACGCUAAGCCGCCUGGUCGAAAAGGUUUGGCUGGCCAAACCGGUUUUGCAUGGUACUCCGUAACAUGUUUUUCAAGUUUUUUAGAACUUUGGAGGAACUCGAAACAAAUUGAGAGCAUACGCUUUCUAAGAGUUGAAAAGUAUUAUUUUCGAAGCACGGGCAGUCGGGCACGGGCAUCAGAGCAUCUCCGUUGCCAGUCGCUCGAAGCGAAGAGAAAUCACGCACUUCCUCUGCUACCGAAGCGAAGGCAGGAACAAGAACAACAGCGACGAGACACAGCCAGAAAUUCGGCAUAGUAUUUGCUCAGGGCUAGAUUCCACUGUAUUCGCUGUAAUCUGGUAAAGCAUGUCGCAUGUGCCCAGACUACAGGAGGAUUUCAAGACAAGUAUCCAGUCCUGUCUUAUUUACAACAGAUAGCGUGCAAAACUAUGCUCAAGAAUCAAGAUAGAUAAAUAACACUGGAUUUCCCCAGUACUUGCUACUUCACCGAACUACGGAGUACAACUGGUAAAGAAUAGUUUCACAAGUCGGAUCCUGAGAUCACAAUGAAAGAGAAGAUACAACAGGGAGUAUUAAAUCUGCACAUGAUCACAAGGAAAUCCAGAUGCACAUGAAUCCAGACAAUAGGAAGAACAGGGAACAGUUUGACAUAUUUUUUCUAAUAAAACAGAAGGUCAGAGUUGCAUGCCUACAUUGUCAACAAAAUAAUAGAUGAAUUGCACGAACAUACCUCAACGACUCAAUGUCAACAUGGAUUUACACUAACAAUUUUUAGUCUUUGACCUUUCAUACUCUUCAGAAUUAAUUAUUACCAGACUAAAAACUACAAUGCACCUAAGAACACGAGCUUUCGCUUCAGAAUAUCCCAAGGAUGGUGGGGGCAGGUGGAGCACGCCAUCAUUGGAGAGCAAGAGCAACGCCAUGUCAUUAACUGAUCAUCUUCAAAUGAUAAUCUGUAGAAGAGACAAUGGACAAGAGUCAAUUGAUCGCUUCACCAAACAGUAACAUUACAAAUUUGCUAUACAGGCUCCAAACAAACUGAUUUUCUAUCAGUCUACGCUUAAACAUAGCAGUUAACAGGGGCAAAGCUUAACACAGGCCCAUCAGCAAUCAUGCAGAGAACAAGGCAAGGCAGAUCAUCCAUGGGAAUCACACAACAAUCCACAAGGAAGCAUGCAUUACAUUCUUUGGAAAGCCAAUCAAGAGAAAUCUGGGUUCAGCGAUCGGAAAGAUUUACAAUGGAUAAGAUAUGUCAAAAUUUCAGUACUGGAAACUUCAGUUACAAAGCAAUUUGAUAAAUCUUACAUGCCAAGACAAGUAUAGAAGAUAUAUCUUUAUAUAAUAAUACUGACUCGUAAUUGUUAGGCUUACAGCAAAAAAAAGGUUAAGUUUCAUUAAACAAGCUUAUUUAUCGGUCUCUGAGGAGCUGGGUUACCUGUAGAUAAAUGGGACCAGAAACUAAGAGGUUACCUGUUGACUCAAGCUUAUGCUUAUUUUGGCGAUACACGUACUCUUAGGCUGGACAUAAUUCACCCUAACGAUUCUCACUAAGACAUGAGAAAGGAAUUCUAGUACGGAAAGGAAGUGAAAACCAGCGCAUGUGCAUCCAAGUGACUCCUAGUGAAACAGCACAGAGAGUGUCCCAGAUCGAUUUUAACUCUGAGUCACCAAGUGGUUCGUCGGUAUCAAUUUGAUCCUAACAGAUUCCAGGCAAUACCAUCAUAUGUCACCCAGUCAUGAUUUCCAGGAAAAGAAUAUAAGUAUUUUCAUCAUACAGACAGAAUUGAAGAAAAACUAUUAUUAGACCAUACAUUAUGGUCUUUCAUUUGUCAUGACAAAAAUGUACUCCCUCCGAUCCAUAAAAGGUGACGCCCAUUUUGUACUAAGUUAGCACAAAUUUUGUACUAGGUGGGCGACACAUUUUAUGGAUCGGAGGGAGUAAUAAGAAACACUAAAAGCUCAAGAUAGAAACUAUGAUUAGUUAGUUCAAUCUUUUAAUAACACCUAUGACAUAACAGAGCUGCACAAUUAUAAUUCUGUAAAUUUUAUCACACCCAAAAACCCAGAGAACCAAACGAUAAGAUACAUAAGUACUUAAAUCUACAAUCAUAACGAGAUGGUCAACAUAUCUCAUCAAUGCACAAAAUUAAAUAGAAAAACACACGACGAAAACAUCCACCAAACAUUAUCUACUGAAGACACAAAAUAUAAAUAGAAUCUCACAAAGCCUACACCAGGAUAGAUCUUAUAUGUGAAUAUCAAUGCUCAACAGGACCGAAAGCCUUAUUUAUGAAGGUUAUCGCACAUUUGGGCUAAGGCCAUUGUAACAUAAAAUAGUCCAAAAUGCACAACAUAUGGGGUGGUCGGACUUCGGCAACGAAACUUCAGACAUACUCGCUAGAUUUUCCGAAGCAACAGUAUCUAAACUUUUUUGUUGCUAAUCCUCCGCAGCAACUCGAGCCAAUUGUUUACCAAGAUCCUUAUCGAGAUUAGCUAGAUUAUUAAACCUUGACUGUAGAUAAACGGACAUGUAUGUAACAUAUUGCUCAGAACAAUCAAGUCGGGCUCACCCAAGCUUGUUUACACCCAUAUGAAGGAAAGGCUUAUUGAAUUGCAUUGUCAGGAAAUCAGCACUUCCCCAAACAAACUGAAAGUACCUUUAUUCCACAACCUAUAAACAUCAAUGGAUAUACUCAGAACACAACAGCUUACAUGUGUGGACCUUCCCACCAUUAAGGCCAAACAUAGUAACAAUAAGUUCCACUUAUUAAAAUGUCAUUGUAUACAAGAAUGUCAGAUUAAAUUAUGCCUCUACACAAGCAUACCAAUCCUGUCACUAUCACUGAAAGUCUGAAACAUUAACUAACAGCCAACAUCAUGCCACAUAACUUGUAAUUUUAGCACAUCAACAUUAGCAUUACAGAAACAAUAGUAGCCACAGAUCACAUAAACGAACAAAAACAAUCUACAGCAAUGUUCUAAACUGAAAUGCUAAAACAUACUUUACCUAAAACCCUCGUCCGCAUCAGAGGUAAUUGGAGUUGGAAAGGAAAGGCAGCGCAGCAACGGAUGAAAUCAGCUCCACUCCACCAGCACCAUUGGAUGCAGCCCCUCCGCUCUUCUUCGUGCGCUUCACCCUUGCGAGCUUCACGUGCGCAUCGACGAAGUUCUCCAUGCGCUUCACCUCCAGCUGCUUCAGGAAGUCAAUUCGCUCGCGUUCCAUCUCUAGCGAAUGCUUUUGUUUCGCACUCUCCACGCGCUCAUACAUCUCUGCAAAAGCCUCAAUUGCCCUCGCCAGCUCGCUGACACCACUAUCCCCAUCACCGCCAGCCUCGCGACGAAAGGGACGCUUGUUGCUACCGCCGGAGCGCGCCGACGAGACAGAACGCGACGGUGACCUCCGCAAGUUGUCAUGGUGGUUGUUGUUGUUGUUACCACCAGGAUGAUCACCAGAGUCCUCCGAAUCAGACACCGCUGCAGCGGCGGCAGCGGCUUCCUGCUGGAUGAACGCAGCGGCAGGGAGCAGCGCCCCGCGGCGGUAGCUGGGGAGGGGCAGAGCCAUGGGCGGGGGCGGGGACGGCGAGGAAGAAGGCGACGGGUACUUCCUCGCGGCGGUAGAAGAAGGAUGGACGGGCAGGGCGAGGUGCGGGGCCAUCGCCGGCGAGGGCCGCUUGUUGGCGGCGGAGUUGAGGGUGGGGCCGACGAGUCGGUCGAGCUCGUCGAAGAAGCUCCAGCCCGACGGCGCGCCGCGGACGCGCUCGGCCUUGUACUUCUUCUUGAGGGUGUCGACGCGGUUCUUGCACUGCACGUCGGUGCGCGGCGGGCGGCGGCGCGCGGCGGCCCCGCGGCGCGAGUUGACGGCGUUGGCCACCUCCUGCCACUGCUUCUGGCGCAGGUUGCCGCGGUUGAGCUCCACGUAGCGGCUGCCCCACGCGUCCACCAGCGCCGCCGUCUCGCCCUCGCUCCAGCAGUCCUCCCGGUAGGGCAGGUUAGGGUUGGGCGGCGGCAGCCUCCCAAACCCUCCCCCUCCUCCUCCUCCCCCUCCUCCCGCCGCCGCCGCAGCAGCAGCCGCAGCCAUCUCCCUCACCUCCAUCGGAACCAGAUCUCGCAGGAGCAAACCCUAACCCUAGCUAGCCCGCCCGCCGAGAGAAGAGGACCGAGCGAGCCUCGGGGAAGUCGCGCGUGACGGUGGGCUAUGUGAGCGGUGGGGGGUUCGGGGUUGGAAUAAAAGGACACGGCGAGGGAAGGGGGGAGGUGGGGUCGCCGGCCGCGAGGGGUCCGGGUUCCGUCCGUCACGCACGCGGCACGUGACGCGUGACCGGCGAGGGGGGGGCGGCAUCGGCAUGGCAUAUCUCGCUCGCUCUCGUGUGUCGUGGGUGACCGGAUUCGGAUCGGAGACGUGCCGCCGUUGGAUUGCGUUUGACCGGGUAACCGGCGAUUACUUUCGGGUUUCGGAGGGCGGGUGGGAUAAUGACAGCCAGCCAGGCACAGGCAAAGCAGAGCGCGGCGACAGGCGACAGCCGGAGACCGGACGGAAUACGGUGGCUGGCGCGGGGGUGGGAAAUUACCGCGUUGCCCCUACCCCGGGGAGCAGGCCGGGGCGGCACGCGGCAGGGGCAAGGCGGGGAUUUCGCGUGGGGCGGCGCGGUGUCAGGGGGUGAGCUGGUCGCCGUUGGUCGGUUUGCGUUUCGGGGCCGCCGAAAGAGGGGAGAGGAGAGAGAGAGAAACGCGCCGAGGAUGAUGGGGAAGGGAGAGGAGACUCGCGAACCGAAGACACCGCUGCUCCUCGCUCUGUACUCCAGUCUAGGCUUCUAGCUAGACUCGGCGCGGUGGAGUGGGUGGGUGAAGAGACUGAGGCGCGGGGCCCGCGUGCAAGCAGGCAGGGCGGGCAAUUAUUGUCGCCUCUGGUGCCGUCGCUCGGUACAGAGGACGGACGGACGGACGGCGUGGGCAAAAUUUAAUCGGCGUGCAGCAGGUGCCGGCUGCCGCCUGCAGGCGCCGGUCCUUCGGAUUGAUCGGUGGAUGGAUGCACUCGCCAAUGGCAAUUCAUCCAUCAAACAUCAUUCGUUACUGUAUAUUUUGUGGCAAAUCAAGAUUAGAGGUUCAUCAUCCGUUUACCGUUUUGGUUUGUCCCCUGGCGUCAUCAUCACCGUCUGGGCUUUGGAACUGACAAUAUGGUUCUUUCGGUGAAAUUCAGGUGAAAGUAAAACUCCACCGGUAGAUAGCAGCGGCCAUGGUGCCGUCGUGGGAACAGAGCAGUACGUACGUUACGGGCUCGCGUCAAAUCCUCGACGGAACCGUGCCCGCUGCACCGGUGGGUGAACAGAACACCAUAAAUCCCUCGCGGCCGUGGAGAGAAGUCAGGGGAACCGCGUGUACGUACGUGGUCCUCUCCUGCUAGCUAUAGCUAGGCUGCCCCGUGCGACCGGCGGCGAGGAAACGGCACGCUCGGGAGCCGUCAACAUUGAAUCGGAGGGCCGGGCGGCCGCGAUAGCGUAGCGACCAGCGAGAUACUCAGUCAGUACGGGCUACUUCGGGCUGUCACGCACGCACCGAGCCGGACGGCCGGGCCGACGCGUCGGGCUUGGGAACCACCGGCGCCGCAGGGGCGGGCUCGGACCGCGUCCAACGCCGCAGGCUUUGCAAAGCUUGCGUUGCGUGUACCCCACGCUACCACGCGGGUCCCCUCCACCAAUCAAUUCCAGGCCGGACGGACGGCCGGUACCGUGUACCGACGCGUCGCCCGCCGGAUCUCCGUGGCGUUUUCCUUUGCCUUUAGUUGUGUACCCGCCCCGCUUCACGCCGGCCUUGUGCGGCAGUUGUGUACACACACGCACGCACUUGUACUACUACUGGUGGCCUUGGACUUUGCUGGUUGCUGGUGCGCACCCAGCUUUUUGCGAACGGUUCCGGGAAACGCCGGCGGAAACUUGUGCGGCGGGUCGGUCGGUUGCCGGGGAAGGAAGGAUUCUUCACACAAGCAACGUGAGAUCUGACCAAGGGGAGCAGCAGCCAGCCAGCACGAGCAGCAGUUCGGCGCUGGAGCUACGCGCGAGCUGGGGCAGGAGCUACACGCCAUGUACGUUGCGUCCCCGGGCCGGUUUGAUUUACGACCGGAAGAGCCGCAGCGUUUCCGGCGCGAUGACCGGACAAAUUAGCCGGCUUGGCCGAUGGCUAUACUAUAUCGGAUUGGACAUAUGGAGUGAUAGUGCUCCCGACAGGUAGGAGACGGACGGACGAGAGCGAGUAAACUGCUGCCUGCGACUCUGCGAGUCCUGCCGUGCACGGCUCCAUGGACGGACCGCACGUCCAUGGCCUGUGUAGCUCCGACCGCACCGGACGCAGGCAAGCGGGACGUGCUGUUCAUCCUGCAGACGGGACUGACCCAAGUUAUUGGAGACGCGUCGGCAUUGAAGCCUUUUCCAUUCUCAGGAGCAUGACGUAAUCACGGGAUCACGCACGGCGUGGGCAAAAGAUUACCAGCCGCGCCGCGCGUGCCUGACUGCCUGUGCAGCUGUGCUAUUUUGAGUGCAGAAUACAGUUCUUCAGAACCGCGCCUGUUUUUUGAGGCUAACUGAACAUGCAGUUCCAUACAAUUUCAAAACUCUACGUAUAAUACGGAAGGGUAAAAGAUACUGAGGCGGUCGAGACCACUGUCGCGACACGCGAAGCCUGAAAUCGUAGCGGAUUUACUUUUUCUUUCUCUCGGGGCAACGUCCAGCAACAGCAAGUGACUGCUUGCCGGUUCAUCUGGCCGGACUGAAGGUGCAGAACUAUCUGCUUCCAUGACCAUGUCAUCUUACUGAACUGAUGUUGAUGUUGAUCGAACGGAAACUUGGUAUUAGUGCAAUUUGCAUUUGGUAGACGGGGGGUGGGAUGAAGAAGCUGCAGCGCAUUGGUCAGGGCAGCAGAUGGAAAACGCUGGAGACGGAGGUCAAAGAAGACGCGCGUAAAGGAACCGGUCAGAACAGUGACUUCCUUACUGGAUUUAGGUGACAGGCUGAAAAUUGUUUAUACUUUGGCACGUUGCCUGGGACACAGCAGUGGACAAGUUCGGUUCGGAGAAUUCUAUCCUCCAGUCAUGUUCCUUCUCGGUGAUUAACUAUCAGCUCAUCUGCCAAUCACAUGUUCUGUGGUGACAGCAGCCAGCAAAAAUAACCGAACGGAUUAGUGAUCGCCUAGAUUAUGUAGCUCAAUUUGCAUGCGUAGUUUCAAACGGUAUAAAACGAUGCCUUCGAAGAAAUGGGAGUAGUAAAAAACAUGUGGACUCGAUUUGGGCCGGGCCGCGAUAUCUUCGGUUCUCCACCCUCUUACGCGCAGCGUUUCUUCUCAGUGUCUGCUCAUCACUUGCGUUAGCUUGUAUUGUUUGCCUUCGCUUAAUAUUAGUGCCAUGUUAUCAUGGCUCCAUCGCCCAGUCGAACGCCGGCUAUCAGUUCAAAUUAUGGAUAGUCUAUUGGCUUUGAAUAAUGCGUGUCCUUGCUCUGAUUCCGUUGAGUGUCAUUCCAAGAGUAGGUAUCUAUCAGAAGAAUUUUCAGCAAAUGUCAGUGCUGCUUGAAGUCAACGAGUACUAAUCACAACAUGUGUGAACAUUUGCCAUCCUCCUGCGGUGCACUCUGACCUGCAUUGGAGAGCUGUAUUGCAGCCUGAAGGUCUUCUUCUCUAUUCUACUUCUACAUAUCUACCCACGUGUAUAUGCAGUAUCCUCCGAUGGUUUAGCCCAUGGGCAAUGCAGUUGUCUGCUUCAAUUCUUGGUGUUUCAGAACUAGUAGUACUACUAGAUAUGAUCAGUAUGCUGGGGACAGGACAGUAUGAAUGUACGAUAGAUAAGGUCCUAGAACAUGGGCCACAGGUUAUGCAGAUCGCAGACACGAGUGUUUGGCUGGAACUGAUCUCCGAAUGCGAGACUCCGAGAAACGUUGAUGCCGCUUUCUGUCGAUCACCUUGAGCCAUUGUCCGUCUGCUGGCCUGGCAGGGAAAGUCUACGGAAUGCCAUCUCGAAAGCCAUGGAAAUUCUGUUUUGCCUGACAGAACUCUGGCGUACAUGAGCAACAGCGACCGGAGCGUGGUUUGCCUGCGUGCUUGACUGUAUGGUCACGACGAACACGAGGUGGCGACCAUCCGCCGCGUUAUCCAGGACUGCACCCGUCAGAGAAGGAUCCUUCACUUUUUGGGAAUCCAAUCACUUCGGGAUCCAUCAGAGCAGAAGACACGGCCAUUUCGCCGGCGGCUUUCCCCAUACAGUGCACAUCUCGUGAACUUCCGUCCAUAUUUUCUGGCCAAAUUUGCAAAGGAUUUGUGCUUUUCAGAGUGCAGCAAACGUAGCAAUACCAGGAAACUACGGAGUAGAAUAGGAAGGAACGUACGCCUGUUUGUUCGGGCGGCAAAGUCAGAGCGACACUCUCUCUACUUUGUUUGUUCGUCAGGCCAGGACGCCCGCCAAACCCGACAUGGAUAACUCCAUUAUUGACGAUGGAAAGUAGAAAUCUGACCCCGGGGGCACUAGCAGACGACACUAUCCACAUUGUCUUCACACACCGAGAAUAUGACAAAAUAACAUGCAUUCUUAAUUCACCUAUCGUCCCCAGUACACACCAUCAGAAAACAUCUUCGAUCUUCUAAGGCGUGGAUGCAUUAGGGGUGCGUAUAAAAAUAAUCAUACUCCUUCCGAUACAUAAAAAGUUUCCCACAUUUAGUACAAAAUAUGUACUCCCUCCGUCGAACAAAGGAUGUUUCAACUUUGAUUAAAUUUGAAUGCAUCUAUACACUAAGUCAUGUCUAGAUACAUUUAAAUUUUGACAAACUUGAGACAUCUUUUGUUGGACGGAGGGAGUACUAAUUUUAGUACAAAAUGUGUGACACUUUUUAUGAAUGGGGGGAGUAUCUCCUAGACUCUUUUGAUUCAAAUGAGUUAAUCCUUCAGAAUUUUUUCUAUGUAGGCUUAUUUCAUUCGUAGGAUUAGAUUUUAGUGGAAAUUUGCCUAUGGUUCACUUUGCACUGCAGUGAUGCAAACCAGAUUCCGCGAAAACCCACUUCUAGUUCAUUUUUCAAAUCUUCAAUUCAAAUUUUGAGCAAAAAUUUGGAUAAAAGACUUGAGAAUUGAACUAAAAGUUGACCAUCAAUGGGAUCCCGUUUGCAUCUCUACUGCUCUCAAUUCCAAAGUAAAUUUUCCAUCUAAAUCUAAUCACUUGAAAAAAUUCCUUUGUUUCCAUGAUAACUAUACCAAUGCACGUAAUGUUUUUCUCUGUUUUUCCUCUAAUGCUAGAUUGAGUCUGUUUUUCCUUUAAUGUUUUUCCAACUCGAUUAGUUUAUUCAGGUGGUUUCUUCCUGUAGAAAACAACAUAUCAUGACAUUUCAAUCUUGUGUUUGCUAUUUCAGGGCUCAUUCACUCUACAUGCGUUUUAGAUGAUUUUUCUACAAGAUUUCAACUCUUACACCUUGUUUGGCACAUGUGGGUUUCUUACGUUUUCUAUUUCUACUCUACAAUCUUAAAAUCAUGUUCUCCUUCUGACCUUUGUUCUCAAAUUUAUCUAAAUACGGAUGUAUCUAUGUUUAAAAAAUGUCUAUAUAUAUUUAUAAUAUUUCAGUAACUAAUAUGAAUCGGAGCAACUAACUCGAACGAGCCCUCGGUGUUUGAAUAUUUAAAUACUCCUGAAUGCAAGUAUAGUUCUGCACUCCUACUGCAGCUUGCUACCACGAAACUAAACAUUUCUCUUUCUGCAGCCCCCGACUCGAUCUAGCCGCAGUCCAUGUCGUUCUUUUCGCCCUGGCGUGUGCAAGAGUCGAACCCAUAGUGUGAACAAUUGAGUUAGGCACGAGCCGGAGAGGAGGAGAAAGGACAAAUUAUUGCUCAGAUUAAUCAUCACCUCGAUCGUUGCGGCGCAAUACCGUUAUAUAACGACGGAAUACGGGCCCACACGUCAGUGUAAAGCGAGCUGCUUGCCGCUUUCUCCCUCUUGCGUGACGCCGUCGCCGUCCAGAGCCAUCUGGCCACCGGGCUCCCAGCCCCCCACAGAUGUGCCCCCUGCAUGCGCGCCAUGUAUCAGCCUCUGAUACGUCAGGCCAGGAACCAUCCUCAGCCGUCAGUUCGUCCAUCUCGACGGCUGCGAUCGCGCUGCCGCCACUUAUAAAUAGCACCGAUGCACGCGCGAGAAAGUCCGUUUUACCUUGCUGGGGGGGGGGGGUUUUACUUACAUGAGCGCGGGAAUGGAGGCGGAGCUGGAGGCGGCUCAGCGGCGCUUCCGGCUCUGGUUCCGCGGGCUGCGUUCCCUGCGGCGGGACCUCCGGUCGGCCCGCUGGGCCGGCGACGACCCGGCCCAGCUGGGGAAGCUGGCGGGCGGCUUCGUGGCCCACUUCUCCGACUACUGCGCCGCGCGGGCCGAGCUGGACCCGGUCCUGCUGCUGUCGGCGCCCUGGGCGAGCCCCGCGGAGCGUGGCGCCGCCUACUGGCUGGCCGGGUGGCGGCCGACCACGGUGGUCCACCUGCUGUACACCGAGUCCAGCCGCCGGUUCGAGGCGCAGCUCCCUGACCUGCUCCUGGGCGUGCGGUCGGGCAACCUGGGCGACCUCAGCCCGGCCCAGCUGGCCCAGAUCGACGAGCUCCAGCGCCGCGCCGUCGCCGAGGAAGACGCGCUCUCAAGGGAGAUGGCGCGGCUGCAGGAGGGCCACGGCGUCGUUGGCGGAGACGGGGAUCUGGACGUGGAGGGGAUCGUGAGGCGCGCCGGGGCCGUGGUGGCAGGGGCCGACGCGCUGCGGCUGCGCACCUUGAAGCGCGCCGUGGAGAUCCUCGAGCCGGCGCAGGCCGCCGAGCUGCUCGUCGCCAUGGCCGACAUGGAGAUCGGCUUCCGGGAGUUCGGGCUAAAGCACGGCGACGGCGGUGGCGAGCCGAGCCGCGGCGCGUAGGCAUAGGCGUGGCGCGGUCCAGAGAGCAGAUCCUCAUCCGCAUCGGCGGCUCGGCCCAGUUUUUUUCUUCCAAGUGUUUGCGCUGGUUUGACUGGGACAGAAAGACUGCUCACUGUUGUAAUCUUGUUGCCGUGACGAUUGUCUUUGCCGAACUGUCUCGCGGUGGGUGCUGCGUCGUAGCUGGACCGUGUGCGUGUGCGUGUGCGUGCGCGUGCGCCUGCUGGGAUGUCGUGUGAGAAAGCAAUAAAAUGCAAGGAAUGCAUGCUUGGUUUCGUUGAGAAGUCAUAUUUUGUUUUCGAGCAAGCGGUUUUUUUAACAUCUUUUCCGAUAAAUUGGCUGUUUGUCUGUUCACUACAGAAGACCCGUCCUUUUAAAAACGGUUUUGCUAUUAAUAAAUCCAUGUUUUAGUUAGAGUAGUCAUAGGAUUUUAAUCCAAUGAUAGCAAGUGAGAGAUGAGAGAACGAGGAUGACUCUCAGAUCUCCAGCAGUUAUGAAACGUCGACUGAUAUUUAAGGUUCAUUUUUUAAAAACUUGCGACUUAGAAAUAGCCAUACCCAUUUAAAAAACGUGUUAAAUCUUAUUAAAAUAAGAUUCUGAUCGAUAACUUAUUUUUAAUAGGUAUUGCUACGGAAAAGUUGUUUUUCUAGUUAAAGAUAAGUUGAAACACCAACUGUCAUAUCUUGAUCCAACGGCGGCACAUUGAAGAUGGGGUGUAGCUGCUAGCUUCGGCAUUGAAGAUGGCGUCAUGGUAGGGAGAAGCUAUCAAGUUAUCCGAGAUAGAGGAGGCACUGAUGGAACACAUCCGCUUGCUAGGCUUGUAAUCGGACAAAUAAUUCAAACAGCUUUGCUAUUCAUAAGACAAUUGAGAAAUAAUUAUUUUCAAGCCGACGCUAACAAUCGUUUAAUCCAAUCUCUGAUAUGUGUGAGAUCUAUACAAGUGUUGUUGACUGAAAAUAACUGCUUCCUCCGCGCCUGGAUACUCGUCGUGGUCCGGAAAUCCAACCAGUUGUUCGUUCGAGCCAGAUCCAAACGACACCGGACAGACAACCACGGGCGGUUCUACCGUGCCGCACGGUCACGCGCCCAAUUAACCGGCCACACGGCCAAGCGAAUCCAGGAUUAAAAAUAGGAAUCGCGUACAAUUACCGGCCACCCAGCCAGGCAGCCCGCAACGAUAAACCAGCAGUCUCCCGCUCCAUGUUUGGGAGCCAUGCCCAACUACAAACCCAACGUUUCCAAGCUGGCCGCCGCGCCCCGCGACAUCCACACGGCAGAUUAACCCUUCUUCUCCUUUCCUUCCUUCCUCCCUCUCCGCGCGCGCGCGACCUCCCGCAGACCCGCCUCCGCGAAUCUAGCCACCCCCGCGCGUGCGCCACGCACCGUCCGUCCGUCGGACCUCGGCCGGGCCGGCCCGCGGUCGUCGGCGCGCGGAGGGCGUUCGUGAGAAUGCGUGCGGCGGCGAUUGGUUGCUAGCUAGCUAGCGGCAUGCCUGGCAUGAGCGCGUGAUGGCGCCGCCGUUCCUGAAGACCGGGCACGGCCGCGACAGGUUCUCCUUCAGGCGGCGGAAAUCGUCCUCCUCCUCGUCCUCCUCGUCGACGCCGUCUUCUCCGCUCUCGGUGUCGUCCACAGCGUCGGAGGACAUCGCCGACCCGGGCAGCCCCAUGGAGUCGUCAGCGACGACGGGCAAGACGCUGCCCUGCGCCCGGCGGGCGCUCUCGCGGAGCAGCUGCGGGUCCAGGGGCAAGCUGUCCGUCGACCUGAUCCCGCCGCCGCUCGCCGGCGGCCCGUCCGACGCGCCCAGGUCCUCCACCUCCGCCGCGCCGCCCCCCAAGCCUCCCCCCCGCAACGAGGGCCCGCCUUCAGGUCUCACCAUUGUUAAUUUUCUAGUGUCUGUCUGACUUUCUGUCGUCAAAUGCAGAGAAAUGCCUUGUUAUGUUUUCGUGAUCGAUUGCAUGUAUCCAGAUGCUGACAUCGUGAGGGACAAGUUCUCCAAGCUGCUGCUGGGGGAGGACAUGUCCGGCACCGGCAAAGGGGUGUCCUCUGCCCUCGCUCUCUCCAACGCCAUCACCAAUCUUGCAGGUAAUCUCUCCCUUACCUUCCAUUUCCGAUCUUUCCAUUUCCAAUAACAGUCCCUGUCUUUCAAAUCUUCCCAUUCUGUCCGUUGGGUUCUGAUGGAUACUGACACGAUCAGCUAUGAUUUCUUUCUCAUGACGUGGCACAUUGCAGCUUCCGUGUUCGGUGAGCAGCGGCGUCUCCAGCCGAUGGCCGCAGAGCCGAAGGCCCGAUGGACAAAAGAAAUUGACUGGCUUCUGUCCGUUGCCGACCACAUCGUCGAAUUCGUUCCUUCACGUCAGGUGUCCGAGGAUGGCUCCACCAUGGAGGUCAGAAACAAGAGGAUCCUUGCUUAUCACAAGUACCUGGAUGUAGUUCUGUAUCACGGAACAUCUUUAUGCAAAUCCAAUUACAGCGGUGCUAUUUUUCUCUCUCUCCCCCCAAACAGAUAAUGAUGACUCAGCAGCGUAAGGAUCUGCAGAUGAACAUCCCCGCACUGCGCAAGCUCGACGGGAUGCUCCUUGUAAAGCUCUGCCACAUUCUUCUUUGAAAUCAUUUACGAGAAUGACAUGCGUGGAGAUACCUGAUGAAUUGCUAAUAUGCUAUGGCUGCACAUUUCCUGUUGUGGGGGCACAGAGCUAUCUUGACAGCUUCAGGGACAAGCAGGAGUUUUGGUACGUGUCGAAAGACGCAGAUGACUCGGAGAAGGGAGACGCGCCGAAGCAGGAUGACAAGUGGUGGCUCCCGACUGUCAGGGUCCCUCCUAAUGGUCUGUCGGACUCGUCGAGGAGGUGGCUUCUACACCAGAGGGAGCUCGUCGGCCAAGUCCAUAAGGCAACAAUGGCCAUCAAUGCUAAUGUUCUUAUGGAGAUGGAUGUUCCAGAAGCCUAUAUGGAGUCUCUGCCUAAGGUGACCCAUAUGAACACAGCAACAUUGCAUAACAUUUUUCUUUACUUCGGUUCACUGCAUUUAGAGGGAUCGAGACUCACUUUGACAGCAUCUUCUUUUUUUAUGCUUGAUAGAAUGGAAAGUCUAGCCUUGGAGACUCAAUGUACAAGCUUAUAACUGACGAAUAUUUUGACCCAGAAGAACUCAUAGCAUCAGUAGACUUGUCAGCCGAGUACAGCAUCGUUGAUCUGAAGAACCGAAUCGAAGCCUCGAUUGUCAUUUGGCAGAAGAAAAUGACGCAGAAGGAUGCCAAGAUGUGGGGGCAUGGUGUCAGUCAUGAGAAGCGGGGACGGUUUGAGGGGAGGGCGGAGAAUGUUCUUCUCCUCCUUAAGCACAGAUUCCCCGGAAUUUCUCAGUCAGCUCUGGACAUAAGCAAAAUCCAGUACAACAGGGUACUGGCAACCAUCUUCAAUUUUCCACUGUAUUUUCGGAUUUCCUACAGUACUUUAUUACUCAUGCUCAUUGCAUACAUUUUCUCGUUGUGAUUUUUUUGCAGGAUGUUGGCAGUGCCAUUUUGGAGAGCUACUCCAGGACUCUUGAGAGUCUAGCAUACACGGUUAUGUCUCGCAUCGAAGACGUUCUUCGCGCCGACUCCCUUGCUCAAGACCCCAAGAACGCGGAGGCGACGAGAAUGCCGAGCUUAUCAUCAGAUGACACAGACACGGUCGUCCAAGAUGCCAAGGACGAGGUGGAGAGGCUGGGAAGAAUGGAGCCUCUGAACUCGACACUAUUCGACUACGUGGGCCCACGGGACGGAGAUAUCGGGCCCAUGAUGUCGGAUUCACAGGAACCUCGGGGUGCAAAGCUGUCAAAGGUUUCGUCGAUCGCAACCAAGAGGUUCUCCUACCUAGAUAAGCUUGAGAAUUUGGGUGGAACAAGGAGCCCCAUAUCUAGACACUAGUCGCUGCCGUAGGGGAAAAGACGAUCAAUAUGGUGUUGAUGUUGCUGCAGAGACUCCGGGGAAAACUGCACGUAAAUAGCUCCGCAAAAACUGAGGGUGCAGCAUGCAUUGUGAGGUUUAUGUAAGCUUUCAAGCUUUCAGGCACCAAUACCUCCAAUUUGGUGCAGUUGCCAAGACAAUGUGAUGACGAUUCUCCUGCUAAAUUUACAUGAAAUAACCACAAGAUUCUGACACUGGACCUGAAAAUGGACCUCCAGAUUUUCUUACUGUACUUCUGUAGCAAAGUUUUGUGGUUCCAGUAAAGUGUUUGUUAUCUUAGACUUGACUUGCAGACCAUGCUUGGGUUCGGCUAGUGUUCUCCCCACGUACAAUUUAAGAGGGUAAUAACAUAUCACUGAACUUGGAGAUCGAUCUGUGUUAGCUUCUGGCGUUCUAGAUCGGCACUGUAAUAAGUAACUGUAACUGUACCAUGGCUCUAUGCAUUGGGAAAUUAAAACCACUCGUAUGAGUAAAUCAAUUUACAGGAACAAAUGAGCAGUAAAAAGCAUCCUUCCGGUUGCUGAUAGUACGUGCAGCUAGGCACGCCAUAUGAGUACAUACAACGAAGGACUUAACGUCCAGAUACGCAGAUCCAUGGUACACAAGCACAGGCAUAUGCAGGAACAGAUUCAGAGAGAGAGAGAGAGAGAAAGAAACUGAAACCAAAGCUUUAAUCAAAUCAGAUCAGAUCUUGCCGCGUGGGCCGGGGGUGGGGGGAAGCUGCGGCCCCUUCUUGAUGGGCAGCAGGUCCGGCGACGUGGUGGCGCCGAGGUAGGCGAUCAGGGACCCGCCGCCGAGGAGCAGGAACUUGAGCAGCAGGCCGCGCUUGGUGAAUGGCGCCGCGAAGGUCUGGAAGAACUUGCUCUGCAGCCCGUUGUAAGGGGACGGCGCGUCGGACCCGUACAGGUCCCACUGCCCCGUCGUGUUGCCGAUGUCGUCCAGGUCGAAGUACACGCUCUUCUCCCCGUACUUCGCCUGCACCGCGACGCCUCGUGCAGGCCUGCAGGCGUACGCGCACGCGUAUAUAUACGGUUAUUUAUACGUAUGUACAUACGCUCGAUCGAUGACAUAUUAGCUCGCUUCACGUGCGUACCUGCGGGUGGAGCGGCAGAGGGAGGACGGCCGGGCGGUGGCGGCGAGCUUGCGGCCGGACAUGGAACUGCCGGCCAGGCCCUUCACGGCGGCCGACGGCUGGACGGCGACGAGCGACACCAUUGUUGUAACAGUGGGAUGUGUUCUGAGCUUCUUUUUCUUUUUUUUUUUGCUGCGGGUUACGUGCGCGAACUUGAUCCAGUGCUGGGGAUAUUUGGAAGGUGUGCUGCUGCGGGGCUGAUCAGGUUUGGGUGGGAGAGGCUUGGCGGGGAUGGGCGAGGCCCCCAUUGGGAGCGCGCCACGCGGCAGGGUUCCGGAUAGGCUUAUCCUGAUCGCUUGAUUCUUGGGAGGGAUGACAUGGCGCGGCCAACGUGGCACCGGAGCUUGCGUGGGGUUGUCCAGCUGGGAACGGGCGUCGGAAAAGAUCUCACCAGAUGUCCCCGACGGCAUCGAUCGAUCGAUCACGGUCUCACUGAGAUAUGGUGGGCCGGUGGGCCCAGAAGCCCUCUAGCUAGGUGCUAGGACAGUGCACGUAACGUACUCCGUAUUGAUCAUUGAAGGAAAGUAAAGAGAGAUAGGUAGAGAAGGACGUCCACGUACUCCGUUGCAUUUUGCAAAUGUUGCACGUACGUACGUAUCAGCACCAGGAUACAUAUGCAACGUGGGCAGGCAGAGUACGUAUAUUGUAGUGUAACGUAUUGCUAGUCGAUCUUAAGCACCUUCCGCUUGGCCGGGGAUACUAAUUAACCGGUAAAUACGGCGGAAGGGAUGUGUACAGGCGCGAUAUAUACAGUGGAUCCAGAUCUGAGAUCGAUCUAGCUGAGCCUUGCGUACGUGCUAUAUACACAUCCUCAUCCGCGAUGGGCAAGCGCAUGCAUGCAGGGUACGCUUCUACGACAAUGGAGCAGCAAAGGAAUUGACGCUACGCUACGUACAGCGAAUCGAUCAUGCACGGAUUUGCGAAUCGAUAUCUUCACGAUGCAUGGCCACAGGCAGGAUGGCGCACAAGUGUGCUGGGAGCGAGAAGACGCGACUAAAAAAAUAUGUGAAUGCGAUGAGCCGGGCCAGGCUGCCAGCUUUAAGCCCAGAUCCAGAGCGACAAGCAAGCCGUUGUUGCACGCCCAACACUACCAACAUGGACCCGCUUUUUUUCGGCGGGCCUGAAUCCACCGUCUAUACUGAUGCCCUCUGGCCCAAACGAGAAAAGAAAUACCAUACAGUACGGCCGUUUGUUUUUUGUGGGUAUACUGUACACAGGUUGGCGCGGCUAACGAAGAUGCGAGGGCACAGGGAGGCGCACCUUCCUCGGUUCAGUUCAGUUCAGUUCAGGCCGAGAUCCACCGAUCCGCGCGCGCACAGCGCACCGGUGAGAAAGCCAGCACCGACGACGCGGCGCCCCCACGCCACCAGCCAGCCACCGGCCAAACGCACUAACCAAAACCUCGCCGUCGUCGUGCGCUCCCGCCGAACCCCACCCUAGUUCUCUCCCUACUACAUCUCCACGGCGGGAGCUUUGCGCAGCUCUCCCCCGCUCCCCGUGCCACACUCGCUCCUGCACCUCCCGCUCCCCGUCUCCCUUCCCGGCCUGGGGCGUCGGUCCCCAAUUCGGGUCGGGGGGCGCCGAGGUCGCGAGGCGGAUCAGGAUCUGAUCCCGCGCGGCCGGAGCGGGAGCGGUGGGUCGGUCGAUUGGGCGGCGCCGGGAUCAGAUCUAUGCGCGAGAUCUAGCCGGGCGUGCGGGCGGCUGCUGGUGAUCGGAGCCGGACCCGGAGGGGAGUGAGGGAUGGCGUGGUGGUCGGGGAAGGUGUCGCUGGGCGGGCUGCAGGACAUCGCCGGCGCCGUGAACAAGAUCAGCGAGAGCGUGAAGAACAUCGAGAAGAACUUCGACAGCGCGCUCGGCCUCGAGGAGAAGCGCGACGACGAGGAAGGUAUGCGCCACUCAUGCUAAAGCCGCCCCCCCCCGACCCGACCCCUUUCCUCCCGUGUAGCCGCCUAGCCGGGCAGCAUUGGUGCAUGCUUGGCUGCGUGCAAGUGUCGAUUGGGAACUGCGAUGGGAUUUUUUUGGUUGAAUACUGCACUGGGUCAUGGGAUUGUCACUGGCGGUAAUGCUGUUUGUAGCGUUGUUCAUGCGAUGAUUGGUUAGUUAGCUAUCGAUAGUGUAUACUGACUGAUGUGAUUGUAGGAAGCAGAAGUUUGAAUUCAGGUCAUCGCUGGUUCCAUUGCUCUCGCAGCUUCUUAUGUAGAUAGAUUAUUGCUUAAGUCUCGGACUCUGUAAAUUGGUCAAGCAAAACCCCAGUCCCUAAGUUUCGUAUUUAUCAGCUGCUGCAUUAUUGAUCAUUGAUUGGUCUAGCCAGAUCAUAAAAACUUAUACAUACUUCUUAGUAGCGUUGGCAUUACAACAGAUUUUGUAUUGCUCUUUCCUUUUGAGAAGUAAUGGAACUUGGAGGCAGUGAAUUCAUGCCUAUUCUCAUAACUUUUUUCCAAUAGUUUUUGUUCUGAGUAGCAUCGCUAGGAUGAGCAUAUUUGGAGAAUAUAUAGCUUCUAAUUGUUCAUUUACAUGGCUAACGUGAGACCCAAAAAAUGUGUUUUUGGGUGAUCCAGGAUCAGGAUCACGUACAUCCAACUCUGAUGGAAUAGGAUUCUUUAAUCCUGUCAUGGCAUUUAUGGGACAAAAUGGUGAGGAGAACUCUACGGAAGUAUCAGAAAAGCAACAAUUGCCAAUACAUUCGUCAGCAGAAGAAGAAAAUCAUAGGGUCACCACCGAGCCAGCUACAUCUGAAGCAGAUGCUUCUGAAGUAUCAGUAACAACCCAAUCUCCAAAGCAGCUUCCAAAAUUAGAAGAGAAUGUCAGCAGCUCCACUGAGCUACCUGUAUCUAAGGUGGAUGUUCCUGACCAAUCUGUAACACCGCAAGCUCCAACACAUCCUUCAGCAUUAGAAGAAAAUAAUGGUGGCUCCACUGAGUCACCUACAUCUAAGGGGGCAACUUCUGAAGUAUCAGAGACACCGCAGUCCCCGAUACAUCCAUCUAUAGCCGAAGAAAAUUCUAGUGGCUCCAUUGAAACUAGUAACUCAGUUGAGAGGGAAAAUCAGGGUCACGAAGGUAAUGAAUAUUCUGAUCCCAAUGACGAAGCUUUACCGAGCCAGCUUGGAGUGUCCGGCAGGGACAUACCUGGUGGUGGAACAUCUUCACCUAAUAAAUUAGAUCAAUCAAGUGUUAUUGGAGCAGAAGAAUCUAUUCAUGAUGGAAAGGAUGACACAAAUGGUAACCAGUCACAGCCAGCAGAUUCCACGGUAGCCAGUUCAGAUGAUGUAAAUGAAGGCAAUAAGAUUGGUCAAGAAUUUGAUGCCCAAAAGGAAAUAAUCAGCCCACAUGAGAGCAAUGUUAUCGAUGACAAAGCCAGUCAUGUGGAAGUCAAGUUACAUGACGACGCUGCUGAGAAUGAAGAAGAAAACAGUCAAACAGAAGCACAUGCAGUAUCUGUUGUUGAAAAUGUGGAUAAUACAGUGUUGCAACUUGAAAACCCUACCUCAAAGUCGAUAACUAUGGAUGAUGAUUCAGACUCGCAAAAUGAGUUAGCACCCGCUUCUGUACAUGUUCCUGUUGGUCUUGUAGAAGUUGGUUCUCAUGCAAAUGAUUUGAGAAAAGAAGAAAAGAUUCAUGACUCUGUAACAACCAUAAAUUCUCGAGAAUCUGUUGGUUCUGUUGUUGAACUAGAGAAACUAAGACGUGAAAUGAAGAUGAUGGAUGCUGCAUUGCAAGGUGCUGCAAGGCAGUCCCAGGUAUCAUUUCCAAAAUCCACAUGCUCUAGCAUCUACUGUAGCAAUUAAGUUAGUAACAUGUUUGGUUGAGGAACUAGACAGUGAGUAUAUCAUCCGAUUCUAGCCCACUUGUUUGGGUUGAGGAAUAGACUCGGUUAGUCCAACACCACUUCAUCCUUCAUAUGCAUGAGAUUGGCACUAAUGGGAAUUGAGUCAUCCCACCAAUUUGAUUGAUCAUCCCAUGUUGAGGCAACUCAUCUUGGAUUGAGGCAAUCCCUCGAACUAAAUACCCCCUUGAUGCAUGUGUGGUUGAACUUGUACAUUAUGAAAGUUACUCCUGGAUGAUUCAACUUGGAAGCAAACCUUUAGUGCAAUCUGUUUGAACCAAUGAGUGCUUGCUAAAUUGUCUGUAUAUGUACCUUUUUAUUCAGUCUGAAUCUAGUUUACCCGUGAUGUGGAUUCAUCUCAUAUUUUCCUUUUUUUGGGGUGUCAUGCUUUACGGAAAAAAACAUAAAAUAUGUACAGUUAUCUAAUAUUUCAAAGUGCUUUGUAGUGUCAGAAAGGAGCAUAUCAUGCAAUUAUCUUUCUUCUUUUCUGAGUAUUAUAUUCUGAUGCACCGAGCCGGUCAUGAGGUAUUAUGUGCUUCAGAUGCGUUCUUAACAAUGAUCGUCAAAACAUUGUAUAAUUUGAAUGGCCUAUGGCCCCAUGUUAGUCAUUUCUUUGCAACAUACAUGACCCUUCACCACCUAUUUAGGUUCUAACAACACUUUAUUUUUCCUACAGUCCAAAGCUGAUGAAAUUGCUAGACUGAUGAAUGAAAAUGAGCAAUUGAAAUCAGCAAUUGAUGAGCUCAAGGUAUGUUUGCUAAGCAGAUUCCUUAUCUUUUGCCUUCUGGACAUAAACAUUUGGGAUGUCUUUCAGUUAAUUAACAAAAAAAGGAUGCCUUCGGUUUAGUAAUCACCACAAUUUUGAGUUGAAUUAUGUGAAAAUAAACAAGAUAAAUACUGAGUUGCUUGGCAGCUCCUUUAGCCUUUGAUGAGUGUUAUAAUAAAUUUUUUUACUGUACAGGGUAAGUCAGCUGAAGAAGAAAUGGAUGCUCUCAAGGAUGAAUAUCACCAAAGAGUAGCAACUCUUGAAAGGAAGGUGAGACACAUUACUUUUGUUACUCAGUGCUACUAUUGACAGUUGAUCAUUGCGUAUUGCAUACGGCAACCUGAUUUAGGACUAAUAAUCAUGGAGAACAGAUAGAUACAAGUGCGCUAAAUGCCGCUAAGACCAGAGGGUUGAUAAACAAUAUACGAUAUUACUCACAUACAAUAUUGUAAUUACUAAUUACAAUCUUCAUGCUUUUUGUGCGGUGGUAGGCCUGGUAAUGGGGCUAAGCCCGCACCGAAUCCAAACCACACCAUAACAUCUCACGUGUAUUUCCCAAUCGCAACCAAACCAGAAGUGAAAUUAGAAAACCCAAACCACACCGCACCGUACGACUUCUCCAUCCAAUCCGCACCAAACCAAUUCAGAAACCGCAGGCUCCGGCACCACGGUCAGGCUUCGAUGGAGAUAGGCGGAGGGAGGCAGAAGCGGGGAGAUUGAAGGGCGACCGGUGGCGGAGGGUGUUGGACCUUGGGGACACUGGCGACGUGCAGAUCGGGAGGAAAAUGAUGUUGGGGAGCAGAUUGGGAGGAAGACGAUGUGGGGGAGCCGGUUACAGUUUACGAAGAAGAGGAGGCAGGGGGCGCCGGCGGCGGAGCGCCGGAUCAGGCAAGGGCGGCUGGCGGUGGAACGCCGGAGCAGGCAGGCGACGACAUCGGGAGGAAAACGAUGUGGGGGAGCCGGUGACAGUUGACAAGGAGGAGGAGACAGGGGGCACCGGCGACGGAGCGCCGGAUUAGGCAAGGGCGUCUGGCGGCGGAACGCCGAAGCUGGCAGGUGGCGGCGAGCGCAACCCCGUCACCAUCACAAGGGGAAGUUGAGGCCGUGCCAUCAUGGUCUUUGUUAUUCCAAGUGGUGUUCAUGGGCUGAAACCAAGGUUGGAGACCACGGUCUGAGCCCAAUUCAGUUCUAGACCGGUCCAAACCAAACCGCACCAGUCCAAACCGCAUUUGUACUAAUACCAAACCAGCCCAGACCGAUUUUCUAUCCCAUCCAUUUGAAACCGCACUGUUUGAACCCGCAUGCAAAACCCGCACCAAAAAAACCGAACGAACCUGCACCAUUACCAGGCCUAUGCAGUGGCUCUAUUUUGUUAUUCUUUUUUUUUGCAUUCUUUGUUUUAAUGGUAAAAUAAUCAAAGAUUCUCUUCUGUGCUUUAAACUUUGAACUUUAUGUUAAUGGUAAAAUCAUGGUAAAAUAAUCAAGCUAUUUAGCUACACUUUGAACUUCUUUUUCCUGCAAUUCUUCUAUUGUUGAACCCUUUGACUAGCUGGGGCGCAAUUACAUUUAUUGCACUAUGGUUAAUUUUGUUUUUCUCUUAAUUCAGUUCAUCAAGAAAUUGAGUUGAUAUUUAAUACUAAAGUUGUGUUUAGAGUGAGGCAAUGAGCUGCAUUAGUAAGGUUCCUUAGAAUGCUAUUGUCAGAAUCUCAUAAUCCUCUAUGUCAUUUUUUGUCCCUUCCGGGUUCAUAACUUAUAUUGCCAGUGUCCUUGUUCAUAUAUACAAUUAAUCUUGUGCAUAGCACUGAAAUGUUUGUAAUGUGCAUGCCUCAAUGUGUGUAGGUUUAUGCACUAACCAAAGAACGAGACACAUUGAGGAGAGAGCAAAAUAAGAAAAGUGACGCGGCUGCUCUUUUGAAAGAGAAGGACGAAAUUAUCAGUCAGGUUAUGGCUGAAGGUAUGCAUAAUUGUGAUUUUUAUGCUUACUGAACAUAUUUUAACUAAUGUUAAGUCAAAAUAUGUUCUGUUGUAUUGUUGAAAACAAUAUGAAAUUGCCUUUUCUAUUAUUUAAAGACAUCCAGUGAACAUUCCAAAUAUUAAUGUUACCAUACGUUAUGUUGCACCGUGUCGAGCACCCUUUAUUGAUUAGAGUCAUUUCAAUCGUGACUUCAAUGAUCAUGCAUGAAUAUGUACAUAUUAGUAAGAUUAGAAAAAUAUGUAAUUGCCUCCAGAACAUGGAUAUAAGACCAUAAAAAUGACAUCACAAACUUUUAAACCACCUAUCACUUCUGUAUGGGCCUGUACUCUGCAGUUUAUCGUGUGAUAUUUGGAAGUUUUGUGUCUUUAAGCUAGCCUUGGUUGAGUGCCUUACUGCUUUGGUUGGAGCUGAAGUCCUUGGCUCUCUGCUGUAAGGCUCUGAUCUGGCUACCAAUGGUAGUUGUAGAUAACUAGGUAUUAGGCAUGCACAUUUUCUUUGUGAAAAGGGCCUAAUGCCCUAAUGUGUAAGUUUGCCGUUAUUCCUCCAUCCGCUGCUUUAGACCAUGUACAUACUAUAGCCCCCCAUGUGAUCAUGUUCACCUUUUUAGUAUGUUCUGGACCAUGAUUGGCAAUGACACUAACAUCUUGUUUUUACCAAUGGAACAGGCGAAGAGCUAUCCCGAAAACAAGCUGCUCAAGAAGCUACUAUACGGAAACUGAGGACGCAGGCAUGGGAUAUGACUCUAUAACCAUACUACUUCAUCAAAAUUAUAAAGUAGGUUUUACCAAAGUAAUCAAGUUUGCUUUCUUUUUUUUGGUUGAAGCUAGGUUCGUGAGCUUGAAGAAGAAAAACAGCGGAUGAACUCAAAGAUCCAGGUAAAAAGGAAAAUCAACUUUGUUUUAUUAAUGAAUGAAUAAAUAAAUUAAUUGACCCCAACUAAAUUAUUUUCUUAUCUGCUUUAAUAUCAUAAAGUAUUUUUCUUUGCUGUUUGCAUGAUUAAAAAAAUCAUUUCUGAAGCUAUUUUUUAUUGUUUGUUUAUUCCUAUUUGUUUUGUUCCAUUUGAACAGUAGUUUGCAUCACCCGUACAGCUUGUUUACAGUUUCAUGAGUUCGUUACAGUCAGACAUGCUUUUUUCUUUCUUACUUGGUUGAUGGGCAACUCUGAAAUAUUGCACUCAGAGAUUAUGGAGUUGAUCUUCAUCCUUUUUGUUUGCUCUCAGGCUUCAAGUGCAGUCACUAACUCAGCAAUUUUCUGACUUUACAGGUUGAGGAGACAAAGGUUGAGAGUAUUAAAAGAGACAAGGCAGCAACCGAGAAGUUGCUACAAGAAACAAUAGAAAGAAAUCAAUCUGAACUUGCAGCUCAGAAGGAGUUCUACACAAAUGCUCUUAGUGCAGCAAAAGAGGCUGAGGCAUUAGCUGAAGCAAGAGUCAACACUGAAGCCAAAGUUGAGCUUGAGAGCCGUUUGAGAGAAGCUGGUGAAAAAGAAAACAUGCUGAUUAACACAAUUGAUGAGUUGAGGAAUGCUCUCACCAGACAAGAACAGGAGGUAUGCUAUGAAAAUAUUCGUCUGCACCUGUGCAUCUGUAGUUCAACAUCCUCGGUACAAAUAGUGUGUAUAUUGUGCUGAUCUAACCAUAAUCUACAUUUGACUCCUGGAUAAAAACUUCAUCUGAUAAUUAUUGUUUUAGCUGCCCACUUUCGAUUCACUGAUUGCAAGUAUUUCUUUCGUGGCAUUUCAGGCAGCUUUCAGGGAAGAAAGGCUAAAAAGGGAUCAUGAUGAUCUUCAAAAGCGGUACCAAGUAAGCUCUUCUGUUUUAGCUGCUACUACAGAGUACUGUAGUCAUGGACCAAUUCUCAAUUUCUUUCAUUAUUUAAUACUUCAGGCCAGUGAACUUCGUUAUAAUGAACUGGUUACACAAGUUCCUGAGUCGACCAGGCCACUCCUAAGGCAAAUUGAAGCCAUGCAGGUAUGAGUGCUUGCUUUGGAUUUUCCUUGUGCUGUAAUUGUUUCGCUGUUCUUCUGUUAGUUGGUGUAUGCAUCCGAGUCUGUGAAUUGAGUUUUUCUGCUGUUGUAAGUUGGCUAAUCAGUUGUGUUUUAAUUUUAACAGGAGUCAGCUGCUCGAAGGGAAGAAGCUUGGACUGGUGUGGAGAGAACCUUAAACUCUCGCCUUCAGGUCAAUUCUGUUCUGAACUUUUGGUUUAACAGUGAUGUGCAGAAAAACAAUGGAGAAAACUAGAACUACAACAUGGACCUUAAAUUGUUAUAAAUGUGCAAUGAGCAGGGACAGCAGAACAAAAUGGACAUAAACUUUGACAUUAAGUCAUUAAUAACUGUUUUCUUGUAGUUAUUUAUGCCUCUGCAAAUGUACAGAUAAAGAGGAGUGGUUGGGUGCUAUCUAUCUUUAGUGCAGUCGGGCAGUGUCAGGAACACAAACAUAAAUAUUUCACUGACAUAGUUUUAUCUGUCCUACUCAAAUAUGCAGGAAGCAGAAGCAAAAGCUGCUGCCUCGGGAGAAAAGGAGCGGUCCAUAAAUGAGAGAUUGUCACAAAGUUUAUCACGCAUAACUGUUUUGGAGACCCAGGUUUGUGCAAUAAUUUCUUCUAAAAACAAAAACUUGUGACAUUAUUGUAAGUCAACCCGGGUUUUUGGCAACAAUUUGGGGCCUUUAGUAAGAAAAGUAUUUAUUUUGAAAUGAACUUUGUGUCUUGUGCAGAUUACAAUUCUUAGAACAGAGCAGACACAGCUGAGCCGAUCUCUUGAAAAAGAGAGGCAGAGAGCAUCUGAAAGUAGACAGGAGUACCUUGCAAUUAAGGAGGAGGCGGCAAUACAAGAAGGACGCGCCAAGCAACUUGAAGAAGAAAUAAAGGAGCUUAGAGCUAGGCACAAAAAGGAGUUGCAAGAAGCAGCAGAACACAGGGGGCUGCUUGAGACGGUAGUCAAUUUUCUCUGUGAAUCACUUCCUGAAAAGAACUGGAACUACAUGUAUACGGAGCAAUGUUUCUGCUGCCAAUUUCAUUGAUGAGACCUAGAAACACUUUGUUUAACAUAUGACAUAAAAUUUGAACUUUGGAGGCUAUCUUAUAGCAGGCCUAUUUUAGGAUCAACCGGUAUUUGUUUACUUCGUUGCUUUCCCUACGUGAAGAAAAUUAGUUUUAAAUGUCACUAAUCAUGUGCCUGCCAUUAGAUCUUCUAGUUCAUACAUUACCAACUUGGCAACAAUUUAAUGUGUCUAUUAAAUUCUUGCGUCAAUUGCAACUUCUGAAUUUCAGGACCUUGAAAGGGAAAAGGCUGCCAGAGCAGAACUUGAGAAAACAUCUUCCCGGGAGCCACCUAAAAUUCCGCUUCCAGAUCAAACAAGUAUGCUCUUUCUUGGCCUCUGAUUAGUUUCUGUAAGUUCAAUCCAGCUUUUCUUUUUUGUUGCCUUACCUGUGACUCUGUUGGUUUCCUCUUUGCUUUUCUUGAAGGAAAUGCUCCUGUCAGAAGGCUCUCUAGUGCUUUGAGUGUUGGCAGCCUGGAAGAAAGUCAUUUCCUUCAAGCAUCAUUGGACUUAUCAGAUAGUUCAUCAUUGGAGAGGAGAAUGUCAGCAGAAAAUAAUAUGUCAUACUAUCUGAGGAGCAUGACUCCAAGUGCUUUCGAGUCAGCACUCCGUCAAAAGGACGGAGAACUGGCUUCUUACAUGUCACGCUUGGUAUGUAUAUGUGCGGAUGCAUCCUUCUAAUAUUUCUCCUAAACUAUUUUAUUUUAUUUUCUUGCUAUAUAUAUAAAUUUGAUAUUACUUCUGGAAACUGACAUUUGCUGAUUAUUCAAGCUAUUAUUUCAUAAAGUAUAUUGGAGUAGAAAGCUAUUUUUAGCCGAUUUACACCUGAACUUGUGCAUUAUGGAUGUCUAAAAUAUUUCUAGUUAAGUUUAGCACUAGCUUGUGCAUACACACACUAUUUCACACUCCCUUUAAAAAUUGGUGAAACUAUAUCAAGUUGCUGGCAAACCCUGAGCCCAACUGUAUGUUGCCAUAUAGCGUUUUUUUUUGGCUGUUUUCAUGAGGUGCCUGGUUACCUAACUUAUAUCAUUCAGCAUCAUCUAGAAUGUAGUGGGCCAUUUACUCCCUGGACAUUGUAUCAAGCACUCAUCAGUCCCAUACUAGUUUUAAAACCCUACGGGUUAAUUACUACAAAUUCAUGUGUCAUUCUCAUAUAUCCUAAUUUGUGAAGAAGCAGGAGCGGUAGCUUGGAAUAGUUCCACGACUUGUGUUUUCAUAAGAUGUUUUACCUUUACAUGUUUUGCCCACUAGAAUGGCCUACACCAUUUGAAGCCAUCUAUGCUGGCAACGUUUCCGUAUCUGUUUCAUGUUCUAUCAAACAAUCUUCAGUCCCAUACUGGUUUUAAAAGCCUAUGUGUUAGCUACUACAAAUUUGUGUGUCAUUCUCGUAUAUCCUAAUUUCUGAUGAAGUGGAAGCAAUAGCUUGAAAUAGUUCUGUGACUUAUGUUUCCAAAAGGAUGUUUCUUUUAUCAUGACAUCAGGUCACCCUCAAAUGUUCAUCAUUUAGGUUAGGUUUAGGAUAUGAUAUGUUUGUACUACUUGUGCUACAGCCUUGAGAGCAUUGUCGUAGACUCCUUGGGUAUGCAAUUGUUCUAAUACUUCGGCCUUCAUGCUUUAGUACGCUAAUCUCUCUUGCAAUUGGCACUGAAUAAAUGUCACUUUUAUAUUACAGGCCUCAUUAGAAUCUAUUCGGAAUUCUCUGGCGGAGGAGUUGGUGAAACUGACAGAACAAGUAAAUCAUUGUGAACCAACUAGACUAUAAUUUCAUUAUAUAUGCGGGUGCUAAUUGAACUGGUUUCGUAUGCAGUGUGAAAAAUUGCGGACUGAAGCUGCUGCUCUGCCUGGCCUAAGGGCUGAACUGGAAGCACUGAAACAAAGACACUUUCAAGCUCUAGAACUUAUGGGUGAACGUGAUGAAGAGGUAUUUCUCACAUGCAGUGCAUCUCACCAUUACUCUCUGUGUUAUUGACUUGUACCACAAGAUACACCAACAAUAUAUAAUCCGUCAUUAUAUUUAGUCUCAUAUCAUAUGGAAAAGGGAGUCCUCUUCAUGAAUCAAAUUGUGGUAGCGAGCUUACAUAGUGGAAUCCUGUAAUUAACUUCACUAAUUAGUAACCUGGAAUUUCUACACUAAGUAGCUUGUAGUGACUUUUGGUGAUUGCAACCUAGCCCACAAACCCAGCUGUUUCAGUCAUAAAACCUGUAACUCGUCUGGUUUUAGAUUUGAUGUUGUUUUUCAAACUUUGGUUAUUGAAAUGUAAACAUCUAUUCGCUGUAAUUUGUUGAAAAUGAGGGUCUGUAUAGAAAUUGCCAUGGUAAAGGAAAACUAGAGGUGACCUGGUCUCAGUUUACGGGGUGGUUACUGGUUGCUAACCACCGGUUGGAACUGCCAUGAUGGCUGGGACUCUGGUUACAUUUUUAUGCACACUCUGUAGCUGCCGUAUAAGAUGGUCCUGAAAAAUGUUUUAGUAAAUUCAAUUAAUAUGACCUAUUACCAAUACUACUUUCUGUUAACAAUGGAAUGGACCCAUGCAUAAGCUUGACAAUGAACUAGUUGUCUGACAGUUGGCAUAAGCUGCCUAAUUUAACCUGUCCGUAUUAGUGUCUUCUCAAAGGGAUGUGAAUUCAAUGCGACAUUGUGUGUGCACGAUACACUUUCGGAUAUCUUUGUAUUAUUGUUCCGUAGACCCUUACCUUCUAUUUCUUUCAUACUUAUUAUGAAAAAAAAUCUGUGCUGUUUUGCAGUUAGAAGAGUUACGAAAUGAUAUUGUUGACCUAAAGGAUAUGUACAGAGAACAAGUGGAUCUUCUUGUUGGCCAGGUUUGAAGUAUAUUGAUUUAAAUUCUGCUUGUCAUUGCGGAACCCUGAAAUGUGUUGCCCUAAAACAUCAAUUUUCCUUUUAUCAGCUCCAGACAUUGGGCGCUCGUGUAUAGCAGUGAAUUUGACAUCCCAUUUAAUUUUUAAUGCACUGCAUCGACCGAGACCAAGAUAACAAUUUUGAAGCCUGAACAUGUUUCUUCAGAAUUCGAACUGAUGCGAGUGUGGGAAGUUCAUAAUCACACAACGAGUGAAGAUAUUAUUUGUGUACAUUUUGAAGCAUCUUUGUUGUUGAAUUUAGUAGGAUAGUUUGUUGUAUACUAGAUUGAAUAGCUUCACAGUUUUACGUUUACAGAAAUUGCAAAAAAAUAAUUUACUGAAGUGUACCAAAUUUGGAACCUACAAGUGUAUGUCGACGUCUCUAAUAAUAUGGAGAUCCUGUUUUGACAGCUUUGUCAGGUUUUCUGUCACUCUGUAAUCCAGGAUUACUUAGUUUGAUUUUUUGCUAGUUUGGAAAGACUAAAAUAUAUUAGAUUAAGACCGCGUAUUGUGAUGUUGCCGCAAAGAAAUGUAUCCAGCCUGGGGAAAAGCUUCAUUCCCAGGUGCACAAUAAGGGUUGUAAAUGCACAGGAAUAGGAAAAGCACGUGACUACAAUAUCAUGCCCCAAAUUGUAUAGGAUUGUGUUUAUGCCAACUUUUUUUUUAUAUAAGUGUUUACUCAAAAGUUUGUUUGAUUCGAUCAUAGUAAGAAAUUUCCAACAGGUUUGAUCAAUAGAAAAUUUCCUAUGAAAUGUGGUUCAAAGAAAUUCUAAGAAAAAUAUCUAUAAAUUCAAUCCUACAAAUCAAACAACAAAGAUAGCAAAAUUUCCUAAGGACUUGCAUUGAAAUAUUGGAGGAUUGGAAAAGUUCCUAAGGACUUGCAUUGAAAUAUUGGAGGAUUGGAAUACUUAGAUUUUUUUUUUCCGGUGGGUUGUUUGAUUUGAAAGUUGAGUCGGGUGGGAAAUCUUUCUUUAGGGUUCUUUUGCACUGUAUUUUAUAAAAAAAGAAAUCUUUUCAUUCAAACCUUUAGUGAAGAUUCAUUUGUUUUUCCUUGAUUCAAUCAAACACAACAUUGAUGUCACCACAAUCUUGUAUUCAAAUAGGCAUGGCAUUGCAAUCCUAUUUUUCAAAUCCUACGAAUCAAAGAGAACCUAUGGAACUUUACAAGAUUACGAUGUUAACAUAGAUUGGAGUUGCAAUGAAGGAUUUUAUGUGAGAACCUAGCUUUGCUGCGAAUUAAAUCUCAAACACUAGAUUUUACGAGAGAACCCAACUUCGUAGCGGAUCAAAUGUCAAAACGCCGCCAAAGAGACGGUAUGUUUGAUACCACUCAGUCAGAUCCUUCUACGUGUGAUCGACAAUUCACCAGAAGAUACUUUCUUUUGUCCUGAUGUUGUUGCCAGAGCAAUCUGGCUUUGUAAUUAUCCAAUCUUUUGAUAACUCCUCUAGUUUGCUUUGACGAAAGACUGACAUGUGCAAAGAAACACUACUUAUACUGUUAUACAUGCCUCCAAUAGAUUAAAAAAAACUUUUACAGCCUUCCAACUUCUUUUCAACUCUUUCCUCUUUAGGUUCCCAAUGAGAAUUGCUCAGUCUUUUAACGUCCACUGGAAUUCCCUCAUAAGUUAAGGGGAGACUACCCAUGUUAAAAUCGAAAAUUUUACUAGAACAAACACUUCUUUGAGCAAAAUCUCUUACACGGUACAACUCGCUCUUAUGAAAGUUAACUUUCUGACCAUGAACUAGCUCAAAAGCACAUAAAACGAAUUUUAAGUUUUUGUCGUGGACCAGAUCAUCCUUAAAUUGACAAGCCCCCCCCCCCCCCCCUUCUGCUUAAAAAGGGAUAAAAAAAGGGAAACAUGAGUUGUUGAACUGCCAUUCGAGUCCAUGGUUUUUUUUUUCUUUUCUUUUUUCUAGAAUACACCCAAGCAGGUGUAUCAUAUAUUGAAGGAGGAUUCCGCGACGCAUUUACAUGCCCGUAGGCGCCAGUAAAGCGACCAUUCUAUUACAUUCCACAAGGGAUCCACUAGACUAGAAAGCGAAAAAUCUACACUAUGAAAAAGACCCGCGCUCGACCAUGCCCUUCCUUCACUGUUGAUCAUUUGUUGUAUCUUUCUAGCACUCGGAGUUGCUGCAUCGAACACCACCGAGUUCCUGUGCUUCCAGAGGCACCAGCAGAUGAGAGUAAUGCUAGUGUUGAGGUUCCUCUUCUCUUUCUUGCCUUGCACCACAAGGCUCGUCCACCAUUCGGCAAGAGAGGCUUGCGGAGUAGGGAGCCAGCAAAGCCUGUUCCAGCCCCGCAGCGAGGUCGACCACACUUCCCGAGCCACGACGCAACCAAGAAGAAGAUGGUCAAUGGUCUCAUUGCUUUGAUCACACAAAGGACAGCGUGCCGGGUGGGGCAAACCCCGCUUCGAAAGCCUAUCCGCCGUCCAACAACUAUUUUUUAGAGCCAACCACAUGAAUGUCUUGCACUUAGUUGGCGCCUUGGAGGACCAGACCUCAGUAGCCCCCGCAGCAAGCACACGACCCCGGAAGAAAGCCGCGUACGCAGACGAGGCCGUGUAGGUCCCAUUGUCGCUCCAUUUCCAAUGGAAACGAUCAUCAUCGUAUGAAAGAAUCACCUCAGCCACGCGGUCAUGAACCACCAGAAGAUCCACAAGCGCCUGAAAGCAGAGCUCCGGGUGGAUGGCCCGAAGCCAACCAUUGGCAUGCAAAGCCUCGGCCACAGAAAGCCUGGAUGCCCUACGCAAGAUCUCCGAUAGCAGCGUAGGCGCCAAAUCCGCAAGUGAACGCCCCUCCGGUAGCCAAGGAUCAUACCAAAAAUGUAGAGCUUCACCAUUCCCCCUUGCCACCUCAAUCGCCGCCUCACAAAGUGCCCUGGCCUGUUCCGGGAUUUGGAUGUUGAAUUCAGCCCAUGGACGCGUCGGGUCCACAUGACAUAGCCACCCCCAUCGUGUUCUGAGUGCAAGAUUGAGAAGCUUCAGAUUAGGGAUGCCUAAACCACCAAUCUUGCGAGGGGAACUGCCUUUCCACAAGAACACACGACAUAUCUUCUCUAUGCCCGCAAUGGUCUUCAUAGGAAGGUUGAGAGACAUCAUGACAUAGACCGGCGUAGCUGAGAGGGUCGAUCUAACAAGGGUGAGCCAUCCCCCAAGAGUAAGCAUAGGGACGGACCAUGUCUGGAGCUUAUUCGCCACCUUGUCCACCAUAGAUGAAAGUUGAGUUGCCGUUGGCUUCCGAAGCCCGAGAGGUAAGCCCAAUUAGGUACAUGGGAAAGGCCCCACCUCACAACCAAGCGUGCAAGAUCAAUGGUCUUGACAAAGAUAUUUAAAGACUUGUAUUGUGCUACCGAAUUCAUAUUAGCAAACGUGCAAGAUCAAUAUUUGUUUAGUUUUUUUUUGACAACAUAGAUCAAUAUUUGUUUAGACACGAUGAUUGAGCGAGUACAUGCGAUGUAACAGUCGGAAAAGGUUUCACACAAGUUCAUUUGUCAGUGAACAAAUUAUCUGCAUUGCAUUUUUUCAUAACAAUACAUGGACGUCUGUUCCGUUGGGCUCAAAAAGAAUUAAACAAAAAAUAAACGUCGACAGCAGGAUUCGAACCUGCGCAGGCAAAGCCCAACAGAUUUCGAGUCUGUCUCCUUAACCACUCGGACAUAUCGACCCACUUGGUCUUUUAUUCCUCUCAGUAUUUAUAUACAUGACUAUUCUGUUAACAGAUUGAUGAUUUUUUGUCAUUGCUAUAACCAUCUUUUACAAAAUAUUUGAAGCUUGCAGCAGAACAUGUAAACAUUUAUUCCUUUGAGAUGCGGGGUCAUAAUUUCUGCAAAAAAAAAACUCUGUACCCUUUUCGCAAGAAAAGAAGGAGAGCUAUCACCUGAGUACUCCGUAUUUAGCAUUCUUUAAUUUACAUACUAGUGCUCUAGAAAAAAGUUGCAUAUAGCUUCGUUGCCAAAUCAGACGGGCACUCGGGGCUGCAAUUGCAUGAUGGGCAAUUUGCCAUGCAUUAUUUGACGGAGUACCAACACGGAACACCCGGAAGCGUGAGGCAGCAGGUGCAUUCUUCAGUCAUUCAGUCCAGCCUUCCCUUUCGGUUUCUCCGCUGCCCUUGCCUAGCUAGGCUAAGCUUGUUUAGCUCGUAACAUUUCAAUGUUAAGUUUGCUAUCUUCCAAUGAGGAGUCCACUGUAGUAGCAUUAGCAGUUGGGUUGGUAUGGCCAUCUUGGUAGCUUCUUCUAGCCUCGGGACUUUACAAUCGAAUGCAUCAAUGCAAGAACAUAUGCAUUGUGAUGUACUAACAAGGAUCGAUAAGUAGAAUGAAAUCUGUGUCUUGUUCCAUUAAAUGAUGAUUAUAUUUAUACAAGAGGAAGGGACACCAAUACAUGCAUUGGUGUCCCAAGUUUUGGGCAUUCGCAUCCCGACACAGACGGUUACAACAUUGACUGCCUAAUUAACCAUUAAUUAACUAAUAAUUAAUUCUAAUUGAUCAUAAAUAAUUAUUCUCAACACUCUCCCUUGAUCAAUUUGCUCCAUUGAUUUGUAUAUUCUUGAAUCAUCAUGAAAUCUUGUAAUUUCCUCUAAAAACCCUAUGGGAAAAAUAUUGAGGAAAUAAUAAUAAUAUCGAUAUGUUAUGAAAAACUCCCUUUAAAAAUCCAAUGGGAAAAAUAAGGAGAAAAUGGUAUAACAUAUUUUGAAUAUUGUCUCUUGAUAAUUCAUAUUGAAUUAUAUGAACAAUAAAUAUGCCUUGUAUAUUAUCCACAAAAAUCCCGGUGGGGAAAAUAUAAAAUAUGACAUAUAAUCUUAUGUUAAUAUUGUCUCAUUAAAAACCUUUUAUGAGAAACUAGUGAGUAAAACUCAUAAUAGGAAAAGAGUGCAAUAUGAUGUUAUGAACAGGUUAAAUUCAGGUGAAUACUCCCCCUAAUGCUUGCAAAUUUUUAAGUCGUCGCAUACCAAUCCCAUGUACACAUUUUUUAAAUGUGGAGUUGGGUAAGGACUUAGUGAACAAAUCUGCGAGGUUAUCACGUGAUUUGGUUUGCAAGAUAUUUUUCUCCCCAUUUUGUUGUAAUUCAUGAGGAUAGAAUAGUUUAGGUGCAAUAUGUUUAGUUAUAUUGCUUUUUAUAUAACCUGUUUGCAUCUGGGCAACACAAGCAGAAUUAUCCUCAUAGAUAAUUGUUGGUGAUUCAAUCAAACCAAUACCACAUGAUUGUUGUAUAUGGUUAAUCAUUUUGCAUAGCUAUACACUUUCACGAGAUGCUUCGUAUAAAGCUAUUAUUUCUGAAUGAUUUGUGGAUGUAGCCACUAUAGUUUGCUUAGAAGGCUUCCACGAUAUGACUGUCCCACCGUGUAGGAACACGAAACAGGUCUGGGAUCUGGCAUUCUGGGGAUCAGAUAAAUAGCCAGCA